GAUCUCGUGAUGGAAGUAAAUUUGUUGUGGGUGAAAGACCCGUAAAACAGGGUCGACGUAAUUACUGCACUGAAGCAAAAGAUUCUAUCAUUGAAGAGCGUAAAGCUAGAAGAGAAAGUGCUGCCAAUGGUUUCUUUGACGAGGCUGAGAGUAGCAAUUCAUCUGCAAACCUCCUUGAUACAUUAUUUGUUGAUGGCUGAUGGAAAAUGUGAUUCCCUGACGGUAGUGAUAAUUUGUCUUUGAGAUCGAAGGUUGAGGGCUUUAAUGCAUCAGUUGCAACAGAGGAGAAGCAACACCUUGUCUAUGUAACAUUUCAAACGAAAUCAUCAGGGGGGAAGGCAGCUACUGUGAGAUCAGGUGUUUAUAUUGUAAUUUAUAGUGGAGUUUGCUGCAACUGUCCCCAGUUACGGGACAUGAAGUUAAAAUCAAUAUUGUUUUUGUAAGAUGAUACUGCCAUUUGCUUUCACACUCUUUUUGGUUUAAUAAUCUUGUAAUGGAACUAAAAAUUUGCAGAGUCUAAAAAUAUAUUCAACCACAGUAUUAUUUUAGAUAAUGAAAUAGAUUACAUAAUUUUCAUUGAAAAAAUAAAAAUAAAAAUAAAAUAUGAUAAAAAUAUAAGAAAAUUUUAUAAAUUAUCAAAGUAUUAAUUAUUUGAUAUUUAACUACUACUUAUGAUUUUAUGUUUUAAAUUAUAGUAUGAGUGGUAGUAGACUUGUUUUCUUUAUGAUUUUGUAUACUUUUUUUAAAGUAAUCAGCAUUUUGAGAAUUAUUUAUUUAUCUAAUUAAACUAGUACAGAAUUUUUUAAUGCGGUUUUAAAAGUCAUAACUCCACUCUUGUUUUCAAGCGCUUCGAUGAUAAUCUUAUAUUCGAAACUAAUUUAAAUCAGAAACUAGGUUUUGUUUUUAUCUGGAGAAAAUAUUAUUUUAAAAUAAUAAAUUAAAGAAAAAUAAUGAAUUUAAUCUGUGAGAUGAAAAUUAGUCACUGUCAUUUUAUUAUCGAAAUUGACCAAGUCUUUGACUCCUGAAGAUACUUAAUUGUAAAUUUAUAAAUUUUAAAAAUUACAGUCAGCUUAAGUAGUUUCUAAAAAAUAAUGUUUGAAGAGUUUAAUUCUAAAAUAAAUUAGUUUAAAAAUUUUCUAUCAUUAGUUUAGAAAUAUAUUUAUACAGUAGGUAAACGUGACUUUAACUUAUUAAACCUUAUUUUACGACUGUUUCUUCCUGCACUUCCAUAUCUUCUUCUGGCACCUCCAUACACAACAUGAAAAUACAUUUUUAUUCUUCUUGUGCCACCCCCAUAGAAUAACUUCCGGAUUAUGUAAUCCAGAAAUACAUUUGAAAAAAGACUUCUGGAUUACAUAAUCCGGAAGUUAAAAAAGACUUCCGAAUUAUGUAAUCUGGAAAGUAAUCAUGCAUCUGCAAAAAGACUUUUGGAUUAUAUAAUCCGAAAGCUAAUUACAAAUUUGAAAAAUGACUUCCGAAUUAUGUAAUCCGGAAUAUUAUAGAGGGACAUUUUUGGAAAUAUGAAAAUCUAUGGAGGUGAGAGAAGAAGGUAUGGAGGUGCAGGAAGAAGCAGCCUAUUUUACUAUUACAGGAGUCCAUCCUGUUAACAUUAGGCCAAGUUUCAUUUUCCCAGAACAGAUGUUAUAACUAUUGGAUCAAAAUUUUUGAUUAUGAAAUAAUAUUAUUUAUAUAAAAACCAAUAUUUAGAAAUAAAAUAAUUAGUUGUAAUAGUAACUAAAGUAGAUAUUAUUUUAAAAAUUUUAAAAAAAUUGAUUUUUAAAUUAGUUUAUAUUAUUGUAAAAUAGUUUUUAAAUCAGUAUCUAAUUAGUAGGUUUUAACUAUCAAUAAUUUAGAUUUUAAAUUUAGUAGAAAAACCUUAGAUAUUAAUUGAAUAUCAAUUUAAAAACCAUUUAACAACAAUAAAAAUUAAUUAUUUUUUAUCUUUGUUUCUAUUUCAUGAUUUGUUUUGUAGUGAUGUGUUAUAUAUAUGAGAAUUGAUAAUUUGACAUCCGUGUUUUAAAUUACACCUUUUCAAAUGAUAAAAAUAUUUUUUUAUAUUUCAUAACCUCUCUUACGUAAAGUUGUAAUUUGGAGGAAUAAAAAAAAAUUGGGUGUCAAAAUAAUAUAUAUAUAUAUAUAUAUAUAUAUAUAUAUAUAUAUAUAUAUAUAUAUANNNNNNNNNNNNNNNNNNNNNNNNNNNNNNNNNNNNNNNNNNNNNNNNNNNNNNNNNNNNNNNNNNNNNNNNNNNNNNNNNNNNNNNNNNNNNNNNNNNNAUUACAACAGGAGUAUCCACACAAACCCAAUAGUACAUAAAGAAAAUUUUAGCCAUGAAAUUCUGAUAAGACCAACCUGGUCCCUGUACAAACUCACAAGAACAUUCCAAGAAGAAAGUUUUGAAGCAAUAUGCUAUAUUUAUCGCUGUCCAAGUCACUAAAAUGCAGGCGAUUAUUCUUCAGUUUAGAGUCACAGGAAAUAGAAAAGUAUACUGCAUCACUUUUUCGUACCAUGCGCCAAUAUAUAUUUUCACAGCCCCAAGUUUUAUAUUGAUUAGGCAUUGUGAUUCGGAUUGUGAGGAGGAGCUGUGUCGUUGGAAUCAGAAGUUAAAGGGUAUCCAAUUCCAUGGCGAUAAUUGGGAAAAAUCAUGAACAACCCACCCGCUACUGCCCCAAUAGCUGUGGGAAUCACUUGAAGAAGAAGCUUCUGAGUUGACUGAAAACCAGGGUAGAAGCACUGCACAGUGUUGCUGUCCAAUAGCCCCAACACUGCAAACACAGUCAACGACAACACAGCAUGCACCAAGUCUCCAAACUUGAGUCUGUAGCUUGACAGGUCAACGGAGUUGGAAGCCGGAGAAGGCCAGAGUCCCUUGGGGGUUACGAUGCCAUAGUGCCUCUGCUUGUCAUUACCUGUGUAACUAUCAGUGAAGGAAGAAAAGGCGCAACUGAGGCCACAGAGCAGAAGGAGAAUGGCGCAGAGGGACUUGUUGGUGGCGUGGCAUUCACCACUGUUGGUCAAAACGGGGUUGAGAAAUUGGAACACGAACACUGUGCCUGUUGGGAGAAGCUUUAUGAGGUUGCCAACUGAUGCGCCAACUGAUGCGAGGGUGCUGUUUCUCAAACCAUUGUUUUUUGAGGUACUUGGUAACAAUGAUGAAGUGUCUGCAAUCAUUUUUUGUUUGUCUUUGUACUGUUAUUUUUUUCUGCAGUUGCAUGCAGCUCAAACUGUUUCACAAACAUACCACUGGUAUUGUAUUAGUUUGUGUUUUUUGUUUCAGUGCCCCAUGCCUGUGUUCAUCUUAUAGGAGCACAAGUAGGUUGUUACGUAAAAUCACUAGCAAUCAUAUGGGGAGCAUUCAUUUUUGGAGAUCCCAUAUCGACAAGAGAUUAGAGUCUUUCAUUGUAUAUAAGUGGAUGCAAACCUCAAUCCUAUGAGCUGAUUUUAUGGAAGUUGAGUUAGACUUAAAAUCCACUUUGUAAUAUUCAUCUUCAAAAAUCAUGACCAUCUAUUCAAUGACAUGUACAUUGAACCAUUCCAAAGAUUUUCAGAAUAAAAGUCAUACAAGAAAAAAAAAAAUACAGCGAACACAAAGUCAGACAAAAGAGAGAGCAAUAUUCUGAAUUUUCAUUUCCCAAGUGUGACUCAGUUGGAUCGAGAUCCACUGUCAACAAAUUUCAAGAUUAUAAUAAUCUUUUGAUUGAAGCUUAAAUUUAUUUUUCAAGAUCGUAUGAGAGUUAUUGAGAGUUUAUUCUUACGAAAUUUGGUGGAAUUAAUGAGUAACUAGCUAUCUAUUACCCACACAAAUAUUCAUCUCAACGUACAAUAUUAUUGACAUGAAAGGGUAUUUUAUAAACAAGCCAACUUUUUUUGAAAUAGUUAUAUAAGAAAGUUAUAUAUUAAUGUAUACAUAAAUUAGUUUUAUUAUAGAGAAAAUAACUUUUAUUUUAAUUUUAUUUUCUUUCUUAGUACUUAUCAAGAAACAAGUCCAAACUUAUCCUAAGCUAUUAACAAUAGGAGCAUAUUUUACUAUACCUUGUUAAAUUGUUAGACAGAAUAAAAAAUAAUAACAAUACAUCCAUUAUUCAUUAAUUGAUACAUUUCAACUAUUGCUUAUCAAACAAAAAUACACUUCAACUUGCAGAUAAAAAAAAAACACUUCAACUACUGAAUAAUUUAAAUGAGUUUUUGGUAAAUAAUGACUUUAUCUCAUAAGAUAAACUCAAUUUAUUUUUUAAGAAAUGUUUAUAGAGAUAUUAUCUAAAAUAUUAUCUAUGACUUAUUCCUCCACAUAUUUAUCAAGAAACAAGUCCAAACUUAGCUUAGGAUAAAUAGGAGCAUAUUUUACUAUACCUUAUACCUUGUUAAAUUGAAAGACAGAAUAAAAAAAUCACUAAAAAAAACAUGAGAUAGAAACCAAUUUUAGAAACCAAGAAUAAUUAGUUUUUGGUUUCUAAAUUAGUUUCUAUUAUUGUUAAAUAGUUUUUAAAUUAGUAUGUAAUUAACUAUCAAGGUUUUAACUACCAAUUAUUUAAAUUCUAAAUUUGGUAGGAAAAACUUUUGUAGUUAAUUAGAUACCAAUUUAGAAACCAUUUAACAAUAAUAGAAACUAAUUUAGAAACCAAAAGUUUUUUAGUUUCUAAAUUGAUCUUUGAUCUAAUCACUGUUGUAUCAGUCGGUCACCGGACGACCGAGUCAAACGACGCACAAUAUAACAAAUGCGUAAUAAAGUAGUUGUAAAUGAAGUUAAAUAAGUCAAAGACACACUUCGAGAUACACCUCCGUGAUAUCAGGAAACCACCACACACGAUCUGAAGACCACUACGCACGUCUUGGUGAACGGAUUAUCUAACCCACACAAGUGGAGGCCUAAGUCAACCUAUAAAUAAGACUUCUGAAGGGGAAAAACGUAAGUUUUUUCAUAUCUUAUAAGAGAACAAACCAAAAUACUAGCACUGACUUGAGCGUCGGAGUGCAAUCGCAGGUACCCCCGACCGGCGGAGCACACACACAGCGAAAGGAAGGACUUCAAAGGAUUAGAAGAUCAUCAGCACGACAACGAAUUGUGUACCAGUGGAUAAACAUUACCUAGGCCCCGUCAUCCAUACAGGUACAAUUGGCGCCCACCGUGGGGCCUAAGUAAUUUUUAGCCUUGCAAACACAAGGACUUCAACGAGCAACGAUGGUAUCCACAAUGAACAAGACUAACAACAACAACACGACGGAAGAGCAAAUGGUGAUGCUCCAAGCCCUCCAAGCCCAGAUGCAGGAACUGUGACAAAAGGGAAUCACAGAUCAACUGCGUCAUGAAGAGGAUCGGCGUAGGCAAGAGGAAAAACAACGUCGGCAGGCAGAUGAGAUGGCUCAGUUGAAGGAGCAGAACAAAAGGUUGCUUCAACGACUUGAAGAGUCCGAAUGGGAAGAGCAUUCCCACACACCAAUAUCGACGCCGCAAACACAUCAAUCCAGGACAAAACCACCAACUCUCCAAAUUCAUGGGACACAUCACGGUUCACUUACACACCACACACACCAGAGCUUUAAAUAUGUCACUCCUGACAAGGAAGAAAAUCCAAGGGGUCACCCUUUCAUGGACAACAUCAUUGCUGCACCUUUUCCCGAUAAGUGGAGAGGUUUGACAAUGAACCUCUACGAUGGUUCUACUGAUCACUUAGAGCUUUUAUGGACAAAUUCAGCAAGGUUUGUAUGGGGAUUAGGAACUUGAACCCAGAGAUAGCAAUGCACCACUUAGUCUUGACCAUACUGUUAGGCCAGUUUACUGAAAGCCUUAUAAAACGACCACCAUAUAACAUGGACGAACUAAGAACGAGAGCCACCAAAUUCAUGCAGAUAGAAGAACACGUUGAUUAUCACAGAACAACACUGGUAGAGGCUUCUGAAAAAGAAAGGAAUAAGGGCGUCCGUCCUCCCACAAUGGGGACCGACCGCGAUCGAUACUGUUUGAACCGAGGUCCUCGUUUCCACAACUAUACCCCUCUAACAGUACCUAAAGGAAAAAUUCUGGAUGAAGCCUUACAAGUCAAACUUAUCCCGACUCUCAAACAAGCGUAGACACCACACAAUGUAGAUACGACCAAACAUUUUCAGUAUCAUCGCAAUUACGGCCACACGACCGAAGGCUGCCAAGCAUUAAAUGAUAAAAUAGAAGAACUUGUUCAAGCUGGUCAUCUCCGCAAAUUCAUUAGAACGUCUACCGCCGCACCACGGUCACCUCAACGUAAGAUUGACUACUUCAGAGAUAAAGAACGCUCUGGACAAAGAGACACUCGCAGCCGUGAUUAUUAUCGACGUACGACCCGACAAAAACGAAGCGAAAGUCCGGUCAGACGGACCCGUCCCCGAAGUGAGAGCCCUGAGCAGAAAAGCCGAACCAAACAAAGGGUUCGUUAAGUUAUUAACACUAUUGCUGGCCCAGUUUCGCUCGGCGUACCAGCUCAGGAAGUUAAUUAUAUCGCAGGCGGCUUCGCAGGUGGUGCAUGCUCCAACUCGGCAAGGAAGAAACAUGUGAGGGCUAUUCAAUCCAUCCAUUCAACUUCAACACAUAAACAUCCACACAUACCUCCAAUUACCUUUACUGAUGACGACUUUACCGCAAUUGAUCCAACCCAAGAUGACCCCAUGGUCAUCAUGGUGGACAUAGAAAAAUUUGCAAUAGCGAAGGUCCUAGUAGACCAGGGUAGCUCGAUCGACAUCCUAUAUUGGGAAACCUUUAAGAAGAUGCGCAUUUCCGAAACAGAGAUAAAACCUUAUGAUGAACAGAUAAUUGGAUUUUCAGGAGAACGUGUAGAUACCAAGGGAUACAUUGAUUUAUUCAUUACUUUCGGUGAUGACUCUCUAAGGAAGACAAUUAACAUCCGAUACCUGCUAGUCAAUGCCAACACCUCUUACAACAUACUGAUCGGACGUCCUUCUAUCAACAGGUUGAAAGCUAUUGUUUCCACCCCUCAUUUGGCCAUGAAGUUUCCUUCUGUUAAUGGAAAUAUUGUGACGGUGCAUGCCGAUCAAAAGACUGCACGGGAGUGCUAUGUAGCUAGCGUAAAAGUUGAACUGACCAAGCGAUUAUAUACUACGACGAACGGUCGAUCCCCCAGUAGAAGAGGACGGUCGCAAGAAAGGCGUUCUAGAGGUCGAAACUCCAGGAAACACUUAGUUGCCUUGGUAGACCUGGAUCCAAGGCUGGAUGACCCUCGGAUGGAGGCCGGAGAGGACCUUUAACCUGUAUUUCUCUGCGACAACGACCAUAAAACAUACAUGGGGACAUCCUUAAAGCUGGAUGACCAAGAGGUGAUAAGUAAAACAUUAAUCAAGAAUACAGACCUUUUUGCUUGGACCGCCGCAGACAUGCCCGGGGUAAAACCCAAUGUCAUUACCCAUCAUCUGUCCGUAUACAAGGAGACUAGACCAAUAGCCCAGAAAAAAAGGAAACUAAGGGAAGAGAAGCGUCAAGCGGCCAUAGAAGAAACUGAUAAGUUGGUACAAGCCGGUUUCAUCCAAAAGGCUCACUACGCCACGUGGUUAGCUAAUGAGGUAUUGGUUAAGAAAUCUAACGGUAAAUGGUGAAUAUGUGUAGACUACAUGAACCUCAACAAAGCGUGUCCGAAGGACUUUUAUCCCCUACCGACUAUUGAUCGGCUGGUCGACGGAGCAACUGGAUAUCAGAUUCUCAGUUUUCUUGAUGCAUAUUCGGGCUACAAUCAGAUCCAGAUGCACCCGCAGGAUAGAUAGAAAACAACUUUUAGGACAAAUUAUGAUAACUUCUAUUAUGAGGUCAUGUCGUUCGGCCUCAAGAACGUCGGAGCCACUUAUCAGCGAUUGAUGGAUUAUGUCUUCCAUGACAUGAUUGGAAGAAACGUCGAAGUAUAUGUCGACGAUAUUGUUGUCAAAUCUGACUCAUGCGAGCAACAUGUCUCAGAUCUGAAGGAAGUUUUUCAAGCUUUACGCAAAUAUCGCAUGCGUCUGAAUCCCGACAAGUGUGCGUUUGGUGUAGAAGGAGGAAAGUUCUUAGGUUUUAUGCUCACCCAUCGGGGCAUAGAAGCAAACCCUGAAAAAUGCAAAGUUAUCGCAGAAAUGCAGAGUCCUAGCAAACUCAAGGAAAUCCAAAGGUUGGUUGGACGACUCACCUCCUUGUCUCGAUUCGUGCCAAAACUUGUGAAACGAACGAGACCCAUCAUCCAGUUGUUAAAAAAGCCGUCCAAGUUUGAGAGGACUGCUGAGUGUGAACAAAUCUUUAUCUAGUUGAAAGCAUUUUUGGCAUCCCCACCGGUUAUCCAGAAGUCGAACGCACGCGAACCUAUUAUUGUUUAUCUUGCUGUUUCAAGCGAAACAGUGAGUUCGGUCCUCAUACAGGAGAUAAAAGCCGAAGAAAGGCCUGUGUAUUUGGUUAGCCGAGUUGAUAGAGAUCAAGAAGAAGAAAAGAAUGAUGUUGAAGUUAAAGAUGCUCCAAGACAUAUUAGCUCAUCAUCCUUUUUAGCUCAAAGGAUAACAAGGAGCAAAGCUAAAGAGUUAGGAAGUAGACUUCAAAUGUUUUCUCUUUUUGUAGUUUCUUUUGUAUAAAAUUUAAAAUACAUAGAGUAGUGUUUAGGAAGGUGCUAAAGAGGGAAACCUAAGACACCUCUUGUGUAUAGCAUCUAUAGGCGUUAGCUUUAGGAAAAGUCUAGAAGGUGCCUCUUCACUUUCCAUUUUAGGCGCUAGAAGUGGAAGAGUUAUAGGCUACUUUGGAAAGCUUCUUUGUAUUUGGUGAUCGGUCCUUUCCCCUAUAAAAGGAGGGCUUGAGUCUUUGAAAUAAUAGAACUGAUUUUUGAGUAAAGAACCUCUCCCAAAUUGGUGAGGGAAUUGAGAGAGACUUGUGUCUUCUUCUCUUCUAGUCUUAUCUUGAGUGCAUUCUUGGACUCUCAAGUGGCGACAACUACACUCAUCUUGAAGCGUUUUCAUCCUUCAAGUGGCGUGCACAUCUCCAAGAGCUACAACCACAUAAGUUUCCUAGUUCUUUUCAUCUUCUUCAUCCAUUUCCAUUCCAAAACAAAUUCUAAAACAUGUCUAUGUUGUUUUUAGUCUUUUCAAUCGGUAGAACUUGCUUAUUUUGUGUUUUUGUUCGGUAGUUUCUUCUAGCUUGCUGUUCUUGUGGUUUUGGUUGAGUUUCCUUGUGUUUUAAUCGGUUCAUUUGUGCUUCCUUGUGUUGUAAUCGGUUCAUGUGUAUUCUAUCUUGUUUUAAUCGGUUCAUAUGCCAUAUUAUGGGUUUCUAUAUGAGUUUGGCUUGAUUACUUGAGUUUUCGUGAGUUCUUAAAUGUUAAGAACAUUGAUCCAAUUCUUAGAAAGUGCCUAAUCAUAUUCCAACUCUUGUUGAAUCCAUAACAUGUUCAUAUUAUAUCUCUAUCAUGUUAGUGGAAUCACAUCAUGUGGUAUCAUGAGUCUAACGUUUGUUCUUAUGUGUGUUUGAGUUGUUUUGACACUUUUAAUUCAAGAACUUUACAUUCUUGUCUUUACCUUUCUGUUUUAGGUUUAUUUUUGGGUAUUUCUUGCUGUUUUCUUGUUCUUAUUACAUUGUGUUUGUGUCAUUUUGAUUUUUGAAUCUCUAUAAGUUUUGUCAAAGUCAUGUUUCUCCAAAAAUGUUAUCAAUUCUAUGUAGUCCUUUUGUUGAUAAUUUUUGUUUCUAGAUUUUGUUUUGAGUACAGUUUAAUGUGUUUGUUUUCUUGAUCCUUUGGUGCUUUUUCUUUUUAGUUUUGAGUUCAUACUUGUGUAAUAGACCUAUACAAGUUCUUAAACAUCACUUCUAUUAUGUCUUUUGAAGUUCUUAAUUUUGUUUUUCUUUCCAGUUAGGUUUCCUCUGUUUUCUUGAAAACGUGCUGACUGUUUCGAUUUAUUGCAAUUUCUUGGCUUACUGGAAAUUUCUGAAAUUCUGGAUUUGAGUUCUUGAAAGUGUUAUAAAAAAGUAGAAAAAAUAAGUACAUCAAAAUUCCAAGUACAAAAAAAAUGAUAAAUGAAAUACGUCCAGUGUGUAAUUCUGGCACAAAAAAUACGGUAAUCUGGCAGUGAUUUUUCAAAAUUUAUCACAAUUAAUUGGCUAACUGUUUUUGUGUAAUUCCAGUUCCAUUGUUGAGAUAAGAUCUUGAACUUUCUGUGGUUUAAAUUUCAUAAUCCAGUUUGCUUUAUACAGUUCCAGAUAAAUCUGUAAAGUCACGCACAGUUUAUAUAAAAAAAAUCCAGUAGUUCUGUUUUUGUUUUCUUCAUCUAUUCUAGUGCUUUUCUUUAGGUUUCUUUUGUGUGCCAUCCUUUAAUUGAAUACCAUAUUUUUGUUGCUUGUCUUUUCUUCACUAUUCUUUGAGUUUGUCAUAUAUCUUGUAUUCCUUUUGAUAUAGUCUUUCUUGUUUACACCUUUUCUUGCUUGUCUUUUAUUGUUCUUUAAGUUUGCGGUGUAUUGGCUUUGAGAAAGAGUGCUUUUGCUUUGACAUAUUUCAUUUGAGAGUUACAAGACCUCAAGAGCAGAUUGGUUGAGGGAAGUAUUCUUUCUUGGAGUGUCUUGUGUGCCUUUUAAUUUUCAGUACAUCCCUAUAAUUGUUACCUUUGCUAACCUUGUUUUUCUUAAUAUUGUUUGCUAUUGUGUUUGCUGUUUUCUUUGUCCAAUGGAUACAUAUUCAAGUGCUGAAUCUUCUAAACCACAUUCUACUCAUAAGGCUUAUGUUCUUAAUGAGUUAAAAGAAGCAAAACGAGCCCUUGCUCUCAAAGAUGAAGCUAUGCAAAAGUUGGAAGAUAGAUUGGCACUUAAGGAUGAUGUUAUGCUAAAAAUGGAGGAGAGAUUAGCAAAACUUGAAUUGAAGCAUGAAAGAUCCUCACAUUCCAUCCAUGGAAGACAUCAUUCUCCUAGACAUUCUUCCAAAGAUUCUUCCAAUGCUCACAACCAUGGAGAAGAUUAUAGAAGAAGGAGGCAUCACCAUCAUUCUCAUGGAGAAAGCCAUCAUCAUGAACAAAGACAUCACCAAGAAGCAAAGCCUCAACUUUCUUUUGUAAAAGUACCAAGCUUUAGUGGUGAUAUAAUUUGUAUUUAGAUUGGGAGGCUAAAUGUGAACAAAUUUUUAAAGCCUAUGAGGUCAAUGAUGACCAAAAGGUGAAAAUAGCCUCUUUAGAAUUCAUAGAUUAUGCUAUGAAAUGGUGGCAUAGUAUUGUAAUGGACAUUGGCUAUAACAAGAGACCUCCCGUGGUCUCUUGGAACGAUUUGAAAGAGUGUAUGCGCCUUAGAUUCGUGCCACCACACUUUAGGAAAGACCUAUUGUUGAAGCUCCAACGGUUUCAACAAGGAACGCUAAGUGUGGAUGCUUAUUUUAAGGAGUUAGAAGCGCUUUUACUUAAAGUAAACAUGAAUGAGAGUGAGGAAGCUAUGAUAGCUAGGUUUCUGAGUGGUCUAAGAAGGGAUAUUCAAGAUGUUGUUGAACUUCAAGAGUAUUCAUCUUUGGGAUCUUUGGUUCACCUUGCAAUGAAGGUUGAAUCCCAACUUGCAAAGAAAAAUGCUUUCAAAAACUCUCCCAAUGAUGGUUACUACAACAACUCCUGGAAAAAUAAAAAAACAUUUUCAAAACUUCCUUCUAAAGAUUCUUCUUUCAAAUCUAAGGAGUCUAAGCCUUCUACUUCUACUCCUAAAUCACCAAUCAAAUCGUCUAGUAAGAAAUGCUUUAAAUGUUUGGGUUAUGGUCACAUUGCUUCUAAUUGUCCUUCUAAAAGAAAUAUGUAUGUGCAUAAUGGCAUAGUAGUUAGUGCGCAUGAUUCCGAUUCACCUAGGCAUUCUUCACCUUCUAGGCCAUCAUGUGAGCAUGAGAGAAAAAGUCCACUUGAAGGAGAUUUGUUGGUUGUGAGACGUCUUCUUGGUCAACUUUUACAACCCUUUGCUGAAAGUCAAAGAGAAAAUAUUUUUCAUACAAGAUGUCUCAUUCAAAACAACAUUUGUUCUUUGAUAGUGGAUGAGGGUAGUUGUGCCAAUGUGGCUAGUACAAGAGUAGUAUAUAAGAUUGGAUUGUCUACUAUCUCUCAUACAAAGCCCUACAAAUUACAAUGGUUAAGUGAGGUGGGCGAGAUCAUUGUUAACAAACAAGUCCUCAUAAAUUUCUCUAUUGGUAAAUACAAAGAUGAGGUCUUGUGUGAUGUUGUGCCAAUGGAAGCUACACAUGUUCUUUUGGGUAGGCCAUGGCAAUUUGAUAGAAAAGUUUUUCAUGAUGGCUUUACCAAUAAACUUUCUUUUGACUUCCAUGGACACAAGGUCAUAUUAAAAUCUCUCUCUCCAAGAGAAGUCCAUGAGGACCAAAUUAUUAUGAAGAAAAAGAAGGAGAGUGAAAAUACAAAAAGUUCUAAGAAGACCCUUCUUAUCUCUAGCCAUGCAGUCAACAAGGUAAUAGUUUCUCACAAUCCUAUUUUUUUAGCUAUUCUUAGACCUCUUGAGUGCAAAAAACUUGAGGAUAGUCCACAUUGUUUGGAUAAUUUGGUAGAGGAAUUUCAUGAUGUGUUUCAAGAUCCUCCUAAAGGACUUCCACCUUUAAGAGGGAUUGAACACCAAAUUGAUUUAAUUCCGGGAUCUUCUUUACCAAAUCGUCUCGCUUAUAGGACCAACCCAAGUAAAACUAGAGAAAUUCGCCAACAAGUAGAAGAGUUAAUUGCCAAAGGGUGGGUUCAAGAUAGUAUGAGCCCUUGUGCGAUGCCUAUCAUCCUUGUCCCUAAAAAGGAUGUGUCAUGGAGGAUGUGUUCCAAUUAUAGGGCCAUAAACAACAUUACAAUCAAAUAUAGGCAUCCCAUCCCUAGGCUAGAUGAUUUGUUGGAUGAAUUGCAUGGUUCACAAAUUUUUACCAAAAUUGAUCUUAAAAGUGGGUAUAAUCAAAUUCGUAUUAAACUGAGAAAUGAAUGGAAAACCUCUUUUAAGACCAACUUUGGCUUGUAUGAGUGGUUAGUUAUGCCUUUUGGUUUAACUAAUGCACCAAGUACAUUCAUGCAUCUCAUGCAUCAUGUUUUAAGACCAUUCAUUGGCAAGUUUGUGGUUGUUUAUUUUGAUGAUAUCCUCAUUUAUAGCUUGUCUUUGGGUGACCAUAAGAUGCAUGUUAGACAAGUUUUAGAAACCCUUAGGAAAGAACAUUUGUAUGCUAACCUUGCUAAAUGUAUGUUUGCACUUGAUCAUAUAGAAUUCCUAGGGUUUGUUGUAAGUGUUAAAGGGGUGCAUGUAGAUCAAUCAAAGGUUGUAGCAAUUCAAAAUUGGCCAACACCCACCAAUGUGAAUGAUGUACGAAGCUUUCAUGGCCUUGCUUCUUUUUAUAGAAGGUUUGUGAAAGACUUUGGUACAAUUCCCGCACCUUUCAAUGACAUAGUAAAAAAGGAUGUGGUUUUUAAGUGGGGAGAAGAGCAACAAAAGGCUUUUGAUAUUUUGAAAGAAAGAUUAACUAAUGCUCCCAUCUUAGCCCUUCCUAAUUUUACUAAAACAUUUGAGAUAGAAUGUGAUGCUUUGAAUAUAGGCAUUGGGGUUGUUCUCCUUCAAGAGGGCCACCCCAUAGCUUAUUUUAGUGAGAAAUUGAAAGGUAGUCAUCUGAAUUAUUCCACUUAUGAUAAAGAGUUAUAUGCACUUGUUAGAGCUUUGUAUACUUGGCAACAUUAUCUUUUUCCUAAAGAAUUUGUGAUUCAUAGCGAUCAUGAAUCUCUUAAGUAUUUGAAAAGCCAAAACAAGCUCAAUAAGAGGCAUGCUAAGUGGGUGGAAUUCCUUGAGCAAUUUCCUUAUGUGAUCAAACACAAGCAAGGAAAAAUUAAUAUUGUGGCCGAUGCACUUUCUAGACACUAUACCUUGCUCAAUCUUUUAGGUACCCAAUAUCUUGGGUUUGAUCACAUCAAGGAACUUUAUCAUGAUGACCUUGAUUUUUCUCUUAUCUAUCAAGAGUGUGCUAAGGGAGGACACAAAGAUUUUUUUAUACAAGAUGGGUUUCUUUUUAAAGGUAAGAGACUUUUUGUGCCCCAAAGCUCUAUUAGCCAAUCUCUUGUUAGAGAAGCACGUGAGGGUGGAUUAAUGGGACAUUUUGGGAUAGCCAAAACUUUAGAUGUUUUACAUGAGCAUUUCUUUUGGCCUCAUAUGCGAAAAUGUGUUCAUAACUUGUGUGAUAAAUGUAUUGCAUGUCGUAAGGCUAAAUCUAGAGUGCAACCCCAUGGUUUAUAUACCCCUCUGCCUAUCCCUACAAGGCCUUGUGUUGAUAUUUCUAUGGAUUUUAUCUUAGGACUACCCAAUACAUCAAAGGGUAAGGAUUCCAUCUUUGUGGUAGUGGAUUGUUUUUAAAAAAUGGCUAAUUUAAUUCCUUGCCACAAAGUGGAUGAUGCGUGUCAUAUUGCAAAUCUCUUCUUUAAGGAAGUUGUUCGUUUACAUGGACUUCCUAGAAGUAUAGUAUCCGAUAGGGAUUCCAAGUUCUUGAGUCACUUUUGGAAGACCUUGUGGGGGAAACUUGGCACUAAACUUUUAUUUUCUACUACUUGUCACCCCCAAACUGAUGGUCAAACUGAAGUGGUCAAUCGAACUUUGGGCCAAAUGUUGCGAUGCUUUAUUUCCUGGAAUCCAAGGGUUUGGGAGAAUUUACUACCACAUGUUGAGUUUGCCUAUAAUAGAGCAAUAAAUUCUACCACAUCCCAUUCUCCUUUUGAGGUUGUAUAUGGGUUCAACCCCCUAACACCUCUUCAUCUUCUUCCUAUUCCUAUACUUGAUGAUGUGUUAUGCAAGGAUGGUUGUGAAAAGGCUUCUUUUAUAAAAGAUUUGCAUAAUGACAUCAAGUUACGAAUUGAGAAGAAAGUUGGCAAGUAUGCUGAACAUGCCAACAAAAGGAGGAAAGCAUUAUUGUUUGAUGUUGGUGAUUGGGUUUGGCUUCACUUGAGAAAGGAUCGUUUUCCUAAUCAAAGGAGUCCAAACUUAUAUGCCUCGUGGUGAUGGACCUUUUCAAGUCCUAAAGAGGAUUAAUGAUAAUGCUUAUCAGUUAGAUAUGCCUGAUACGUUUCUUGGUAGUCAUACUUUUAAUAUAAGUGAUCUAACUCCUUUUUCUGUAGGUCUUCAAAAUUCGUGGUCGAAUUCUCUCCAACUCGGGGAGUAUGAUGGAGAUUAAGAAGAAGAAGAGAAUGAGAUUGAAGUUAAAGAUGCUCCAAGACAUAUUAGCUCAUCAUCCUUUUUACCUCAAAAGAUUACAAGGAGCAAAGCUAAAGAGUUAGGAAGUAGACUUCAAAUGUUUUCUCUUUUUGUAGUUUCUUUUGUAUAAAAUUUAAAAUACCUAGAGUAGUGUUUAGGAAGGUGCUAAAGAGGGAAACCUAAGACACCUCUUGUGUAUAGCAUCUAUAGGCGUUAGCUUUAGGAAAAGUCUAAAAGGUGCCUCUUCACUUUCCAUUUUAGGCGCUAGAAGUGGAAGAGUUAUAGGCUACUUUGGAAAGCUUCUCUUGUAAGUUUCUUUGUAUUUGGUGACCGGUCCUUUCCCCUAUAAAAGGAGGGCUUGAGUCUUUGAAAUAAUAGAAUUGAUUUUUGAGUAAAGAACCUCUCCCAAAUUGGUGAGUGAAUUGAGAGAGACUUGUGUCUUCUUCUCUUCUAGUCUUAUCUUGAGUGCAUUCUUGGACUCUCAAGUGGCGGCAACUACACUCAUCUUGAAGCCUUUUCAUCCUUCAAGUGGCGUGCACAUCUCCAAGAGGUACAACCACAUAAGUUGUUGUCUAUGUUGUUUUCAGUCUUUUCAAUCGGUAGAACUUGCUUAUUUUGUGUUUUUGUUCGGUAGUUUCUUCUAGCUUGCUGUUCUUGUGGUUUUGGUUGAGUUUCCUUGUGUUUUAAUCGGUUCAUUUGUAUUCUAUCUUGUUUUAAUCGGUUCAUAUGCCAUAUUAUAGGUUUCUAUAUGAGUUUGGCUUGGUUACUUGAGUUUUCGUGAGUUCUUGAAUGUUAAGAACAUUGAUCCAAUUCUUAGAAAGUGCCUAAUCAUAUUCCAACUCUUGUCGAAUCCAUAACAUGUUCAUAUUAUAUCUCUAUCAUGUUAGUGGAAUCACAUCACGAGUACUCCACGACGCGGAAGUGAGAUAUCAAACAAUUGAAAAAGUCGUGUUGGCCUUAAUUAUAACCGCACAACGUAUGCAGAUGUAUUUUCAGAAUCACCAGGUCAUAGUUAAGACUAACUAUCCUAUUAUGAAGAUUCUAAUGAAACCAGACUUGAUAGGACGAAUGAUAAGAUGUGCCAUCGAAUUAUCAGAAUUCCAUAUUUAGUACCAACCCAGGGGUGCACUCAAAUCACAAGUCCUUGCCGACUUUGCAUCCGAACUUGCUCCACAACCGGUUGAAGAAGAACACUCUCGGUGGAUGCUAUACAUUGACGGUUCUUCAAACAGCCGGUCAUGCGGAGCUGGGGUGGUAUUAGAAGGACUGGGUGAAAUCAUUGUGGAACAAGCUUUAAAAUUUGAGUUCAAAGCUUCGAAUAAUCAGGCUAUCAUAGCCGGUCUUUACCUGGCUAUUGAGUUAGAAGUAACUAGGUUAACUUGCAAAAGCGAUUCACGGCUAGUGGUCAGGCAGAUCACAGAGGAAUGCGAAGUUUGAGAAACGUUACUUCAGCAGUACUUUCUAUUACGAAGUGGACUUUAAGGCUAACUCAAUCCCAUAAAACCGGCUCAAUAAGGUCAGGUUUGCACCCACUUAUAUACUAUGAAAGACUCUAAUCUCUAGUUGAUGUGGGAUCUCCAACACACCCCCUCACGCCGAGACUGCCAACUCGUGCGUGGGACUAUAUAUUAUGGGUGGUACGAUAGGCCCGAUAGCGGGUGGCACGAUAGGCCCAACACAAACACUCGCUAGGAUAGACUCAAAAUGGCUCUGAUACCAUAUUACGAAGUGGACUUUAAGCCUAACUCAACCCCAUAAAACCGGCUCAAUAAGGUGAGGUUUGCACCCACUUAUAUACUAUGAAAGGCUCUAAUCUCUAGUCGAUGUGGGGUCUCCAACAUGAUACCAUAUUAAAGGAAAAGAAAGAAUAGGAUAAAUCCUUUGUGUGUAUUGAACACAUAGCGUUAUGUUUAUAUAGGAAAAGAAACAUAAGGGCUAAACCCAUUACAUAAAUAUGAGAUAUCUAACAAUAUCUAUAACAUCUCAUAAUAUCAAAUAAUAUCUAAUUUUAUCUAAUAAUAUCUAAUUUUAUCUAAUAAUAUCUAAUUUUAUCUAAUAAUAUCUAAUUUUAUCUAAUAAUAUCUAACACUCCCCCUCAAGCUGGUGCAUAUAGAUCAUAUGUACCCAGCUUAUUACAAAUGUAAUCAAUCCUAGGCCCUCGUAAGGGUUUAGUAAAAAUAUCUGCUAAUUGAUUAUUUGAAUUAACAAACUCAAUCUUGAUAUCUCCCAAUAUAAUCUUUUCACGAAUGAAAUGACAAUCAAUCUCAAUAUGUUUUGUCCUUUCAUGAAAAAUUGGAUUUGAGCUAAUAUGAAGAGCAGUAUGAUUAUCACAUAUAAGUGUCAUUUGAUUAACCUCCCCAAAUUGCAAUUCUUUAAGUAACUAUUUAAGCCAAAUAAGCUCACAAGUAGCCGAGGCCAUAGCUCUAUAUUCUGCUUCUGCACUAGAUCUUGCCACAACACUUUGUUUCUUGCUCUUCCAAGAGAUCAAGUUAUCACCAAUGGAGACAUAAUAACCAGAAGUUGAUUUUCUAUCAGAUGGAGAUCCUGCCUAAUCAACAUUUGAAUAACAAACGACUUUAGUAUGGUUAUUAUGACCAUAUAACAAACCUUUUCCAGGAGAGCCUUUAAUGUACUUCACUAUACGAAUGACUGCGUUCCAAUGAUCUUCACAUGGAGAAUUAAGAAAUUGACUCACCACACUGACUGCAAAGGAAAUAUCAGGACGAGUAAUAGUGAGAUAGUUCAAUUUUCCAACUAAUCUCCUGUACUUCUCAGGAUCUGAAAGAGGCUCCCCCUGAUUGGGUAGAAGCUUGACAUUGGGAUCCAUGGGAGUAUCAAUAGAUUUCGAAUUCAUCAACCCGAUUUCCUCCAAAAUAUUUAAUGCAUAUUUUCUUUGAGAGAUAACAAUACCAGUAUUGGAUUGUGCUACCUCAAUCCCCAAGAAAUAUCUGAGUUUGCCAAGAUCUUUGGUCUGAAAGUGUUGACAAAGGUGUUGUUUUACUUGUGAGAUGCCAUGGUGAUCACUGCCUGUAAGAACAAUGCCAUCAACAUAUACUACAAGAUAGAUACACCCAACAUUCGAGUGACGAUAAAAAACUGAAUGAUCUCCUUCACUGCGAGUCAUACCAAAUUGUUGAACAACAUUGCUAAAUUUUCCAAACCAAGCCCUAGGAUAUUGCUUGAGGCCAUAUAAGGAUUUGCGAAGACGACAUACCAAUCCAGAAGACUCCCCCUGAGCAACAAAACUGAGAGGUUGCUCCAUAUAAAUUUCUUCCUACAAAUCCCAUUAAGAAAAUCAUUUUUGACAUCCAGUUGAUAAAGAGGCCAUUGUUGAAGAGCAGCCAUAGCUAUGAAUAAGCGAACAUAGGCCAUCUUUGCUACUGGAGAAAAAGUAUCACCAUAGUCUAAACCAAAAAUUUGGGUAUAACCCUUAAUCAUAAGACGAGCUUUGAGACGAUCAAUAGUACCAUCAAGACCAACUUUGAUAGCAAAAAUCCACCUGCAACCAAAACAGAUUUCCUAGAUGGUAAAGGAACAAGUUCCCAAGUUCCAUUAUUCUGAAGCACAUCCAUUAAAUCAAGCAUGGCCUGACGCCAACCAGGAUAAGCUAAGGCAUCACCUACAAAUUUUGGAAUGGAUACAGAAGAAAUAGACGAAAGGCAGGUAUAAAAGGGUUGAGAUAGUCUAUGGUAACUCAAAGCAGUAUAAUGUGGAGAGGGAUUACGAGUAGAAUGUAUACCUUUAUGGAUAGCAAUAGGAAGAUCAGGUUCAACAGUCGGAGGUUCGAUUGUAGGAGCCGAAGGGGGAUGAGGUGUUGGCACUGGAAUAAAGUCUGCUGAUGGACGAUAAGACGUUUGACGACGACUAUACACCUGAAGAGUUGGUGGCGGUGGUGAAUCGUUAGGUGCACUAGGCACAACAAGAGGAAUAUUAACUUGAUUAGAUGAAGAAAUUGAAGAAGAAGGACAAGACUUAAAGUAAAGGGAAGAUUCAUUGAAGGUGACAUUUGCUGAAAUAAAAUAACGGUUUAAGGACGGUGAGAAACAUUUAUAUCCUUUUUGUGAUCUAGUGAACCCUAAAAAGACACAUUUGUGUGACUUAGGAGAUAAUUUAUCAAGACCAGGACUAAAAUUAUGAACAAAACAUGUGGACCCAAAAACUUUGGGAGGUAAAGAGUGGAGAGGGUCAUGUGGAAAUAAAAUAGAAUGAGGAAUUUUGUUAUCUAAAACUGAAGAUGACAUGCGAUGAAUGAGAUAACAUGCACUAAGAACAACAUCACCCCAAAAACGCUGAGGAACAUCACCAUGGAUUAAAAUAGUACGAGUUGUUUCAACAAGAUGUCUAUUCUUGCGCUCAGCUACCCCAUUUUGUUGAGGUGUAUAAGCACAUGAAGUUUGAUGAAGAAUACCAUGAGAAGCCAUAAAAUUUUUAAAAGAAUGAGAAAGAUACUCACGUCCAUUAUCACUGCGCAAAAUUCGGAUGGAAAUUCCAAAUUGAUUUUUAAUUUCAUUGUAAAAUAUUUGAAAUAUAGAAAACAACUCAGAACGGUUUUUCAUUAAAAAUACCCAAAUACAUCUUGAAUAAUCAUCAAUAAAAGUAACAAAAUUCUGAAAUCCUAAAUUAGACUUAAUACUGUUGAAGAUGGAUGAAGCCUCUUCUCUACCUAGUGUUGAUGUGUGUUUGAUGAAGAAAAUGGCUUGAGUGCUUUGAAGAUUGUAAUAGGUUUUUAGAUUCAUUUGUAAUUAGGCUUGUAAGUGUGUAAUGUUGCCUUUUGCUACAUGAUCUAUCCUAGAUGCCUAACCAAGCCUAGAUCAAGCACAUGAUGUGGUUAAAUGGUUUUUGAAAAGUUUUUUAAAGUGCUCUUAAAAGUUUUAAAUCAGUACACAAAUAAAUCUGUUUUAUGGAGAAAGAAUCGGUUUAUUUCUUCUCUGUUAAAAGGCUUUUCUAAAUUUCUGUUAAGGCACCAAGGGAAAGCUCAGUUCGUUAUUUCAGUUAAGAUGAGCUGGCUUGUGUGCUAUCAUUUAAUCUGUUUCACUGUGAAAGAAUCAAUUUGCUCUUUGGUCAGUUGAAAGGUUUUUCACAAGUUAGUUAGGGCACCAAAGGUACAACUCAGACAGUUAUUUCAGUUAACUGAGUUGGCGGUUUUCACAAAAUAAAUCUGUUAAGUUCAAAAAUGAAUCUGUUGUUUUCAUAACUGCUUUUCAACUGUUUUUUGAAAAGAAGUUAGAAACAGUUUUCUAUAUAAAGAAAAGUCUCUCUCACAUGAAAAAGUGCUGAGCAAUUACGUUUUUGACAGAGAUCAAACAAUUUCCAUGUGAGAAGAAGGAUUGAAAGAUUUUUGAAAGGUUUUUCAAAGAGNNNNNNNNNNNNNNNNNNNNNNNNNNNNNNNNNNNNNNNNNNNNNNNNNNNNNNNNNNNNNNNNNNNNNNNNNNNNNNNNNNNNNNNNNNNNNNNNNNNNNNNNNNNNNNNNNNNNNNNNNNNNNNNNNNNNNNNNNNNNNNNNNNNNNNNNNNNNNNNNNNNNNNNNNNNNNNNNNNNNNNNNNNNNNNNNNNNNNNNNNNNUAUCAGCAUUGUUGGUGUUGUUCUUGUAGUGUUCAAGAAUCAUUCAAAUUGUGCUAGUGGAAUCAUAUCAUGUGGUAUCAUGAGUUUAGGUGUGUUCUUGUUUAAAUUUUGAGUUGUGUUGCACUUUAAUUUCAAGAGCUCUUUAAUUUCUUGCAAUUUACGGUUCUGUUUUUAGGCUUAUUUGAGUUUUAUUGCUGUUUUCUUUAUGUUGCCUAUCAUAUGUUUUAGUAUUUUCCUUUUUGAAUCCAUACAAGUUUUGUCUUAGUCUUGUUUUUUCAUAAUUGUCAUCACUUCUUGUAGUACUUUUAUUGAAUUUGUUGUUUCUUGCUUUGGUGUCAUAUAAUUUUCUGAGUUUGAUACUUGAUCCUUUGUGCAUUUUCUGUUUUAGUUUGAGUUCAUGCCUGUAUUCUAGACCUAUACAAGUUCCUAUACAUCAUUUUCCAUUAUGUCUUUGCUAGUUCAUAAUUCUGUUUUUCAUUCCUAUUAGGAUUCCUCUGUUUUCUGAAAACGUGCUUACUGUUUUUCCUUAUUGCAAUUGAUUUAGUCACUGGAAAAUUCUGAAAUUAUGGAUUUGUGUUCUUCAAAGUGUUAGAAAAGAGUAGAAAAAAGAAGUACUCAAAAAUUCAAAGUACACAAAAAAUGAUAAAUAAAAUACAAAAAAUGUACAAUUCUGCCGAAAAAAAUACGGUAAUCUGGCAGCGAUUUUGAAAAACUUAUCUCAAUUAAUUGGCUUACUGUUUUUAAGUGAUUCCAGUGCUAGUUUUGAGCUAAGAUCUUGAAGUUUGUGUGGUUAAAAUUUCAUAAUCCAGUUCGCUUUAUAUCGUUCCAGUUAAAUCAGUGAACAUCAAGCAUAGUUUGCAUAAAAAAAAAAUUUCCAGUAGCUAAUUUUUUGUUUUCUUCAUCUACUCUAGUGCUUUUCCUUAAGUAUUCUUUUGUGUGCCUACUUUUUCAUUGAGUUCUUUAAUUUUCUUGCUUGUCUUUUGUUCAUUAAUCUUUGAGUUUGUCAAACAUCUAGUAUUCCUUUUGUUCUAGCCUUUCAUUGCUUAUAUUUUUUCUUGUUUGUCUUUAUUGCUUCAUUGGUUUUGUUGUGGUUGGCUUUGAGAUUGGUGUGCCUUGCUUUGACAUCUUUCAUUUGAGGAUUCCAAGACCUCAAGAUCAGAUUGGUGCAGGGACAUUAUUUCUUUGAGAGUGACCUCUUUUCUGGCCAAAUUCACUUCGGCAAUUUGAUUGCCAAACUCAUUGUUUUUGCUAACUUUGUUUCUUGACUUGUUUGCUGUUUUUGUGUGUUUGCUGUUUUCAUUUGCAAAUGGCUGGCUAUUCAAGUGGUGCAUCUUACAAACAACAUUCUCCUUCCAAAGCUUCGGUCCUUGGAAAAUUGCAUGAAGCUCAACGCACCAUUAGGCGUUUGGAAGAGAAAUUGCAAAAGAUGGAUGUGCAACAAGCUAGGCCAUCUCACUCUAUCCAUGAUGAGCAUCAUUCACAUAGACCUUCAACAAGAGGUUCUUCAAAUGACUUUGGCCGUGAAGAGGAACAUAGAAGAAGGAAGCCUCACCAUCAUUCUCAUAAAGAGAGCUAUAACCGUGACCAAAGAUAUCACCAAGUGUUCAACAUUUCUUGUGCCAAAGUCCCUAGUUUUAAUGGUGAUAGUGAUCCUAAUGUGUAUUUAGAUUGGGAGGCUAAGAUUGACCAUUAUUUUCAUGUGUAUAAGGUCCAAGAUGAUGAUAAACUUAGGGUAGUUUCUUCAUCCUUUUUGGGCUAUGCCAAAGAAUGGUGGCAUAAAAUUGUAAUGGACAUUAUAUAUCGCAAGAAACCUCUCGUGGUUUCUUGGAAUGCUUUGAAAGAGCGUAUGCGCGUGAGGUUUGUUCCUCCUUCUAAGAAGGAACACUUGUUGAAGUUCCAAAGGCUUCCUCAAGGACAUAGGCUGGUAGAUGAAUACUUUAAAGAUUUUGAAACAACUUUGACUAAAAUGAAUAUACAUGCUAAUGAAGAGUCAAAGAUAAAAUGGUUUGUACGUGGUUUGAGAAGAGAUAUUAGGGAAUUUAUAGAAUUAAAUGAGUACUCUUCUUUAAAGAAAGUGUUUCGCAAAGCCAUCAAGGUGGAAUCCUAUCUUUUGAAAACAACUUUCAAAAAUACUCAUGAUGAUGAUUUCUACAACUCUUCUAGGAAGGAUGCCAACAAAAUUUCUACUCAAAAUUCUCCUUCCAAUUUUUCAAAACAAACCUUGUUUCCAAAAAAAGUUUCUACUACAAAUCCUUCUACUCCUAAGUCACCUACCAAAACUUCAAAUAUCAAAUGUUUUAAAUGUUUAGGUUUUGGGCACAUAGCUCUUCAUUGUCCACAAAAGCAAAUCUUAAAGCUAAACAAGGUAAAACAAGACCUCACUCACCCACCUACCACAAGUAAAAAUGAAAAAGACAAAGAAGGCCAAGUUGACAUGGGUCUUAUACUUUCACAUCCAAGGUGUUUUCCUUCCUUAUCUUUUUCAUUACCAAAGGUUCUUACUUCACCACCAUCUUGGUUUAAAAAUGUUAGGGAUGAUUUUUUCAUACCUCCUAAUGGUUGUCACCAUUUAAGAGGACUUUUUCCAAAAGAUAUCAUCAUUCCUAAACAAACUUUUCCAACUUGGUCGUUUUAUAGAACCUCCUUUUCUGAAAUCCCAUUGUUUCCAAAUGCUAAGUCGUGUUUUCCUUUUUCUUCCACUUUUAAUUGUAAGAAUAAACUGACUUUGUUAUAUGCAGGGAUUCAGAAUUCAUGGACGAAUUCUCUCCAACUCGAGGAGUAUGAUGAGAAUCAAAUAAAGGAGGCUUUUAUUAAUGGAGGAAGAGGACAUCCACCCUCACAUUUGAAGUUCUUCCUUCUAGUCUUCUCAAAAUUAAAAGAAGACAUAAAAUAAAGAUGAGGCCCAAGCCCAAAGCCCAAGCCCAAGAANNNNNNNNNNNNNNNNNNNNNNNNNNNNNNNNNNNNNNNNNNNNNNNNNNNNNNNNNNNNNNNNNNNNNNNNNNNNNNNNNNNNNNNNNNNNNNNNNNNNNNNNNNNNNNNNNNNNNNNNNNNNNNNNNNNNNNNNNNNNNNNNNNNNNNNNNNNNNNNNNNNNNNNNNNNNNNNNNNNNNNNNNNNNNNNNNCACCUCCCAUGUGACUUGUUUUUGGUGGGAAUUUCAAAUGAGUUUAUUUGAAUUUUCCCACCUAUUUUUCAGCACCUCUAGGCUAUAAAUAAAGGUGCUUAGCUUGUACAAUUCAGAUUUGAAUUUGAUUAGAGAAACUAUACUCAAUUUUUGAGAGAGCAUUGGAGAGCUUUGUGCCUUCCUCACUAGUUUUAUCUUGAGAGUUUCCAUGGUUACCUCAAGUGGCGGCUUGCACACUCAUCUUGGAGUCACCAUCCUCUAAGUGGCGUGAUCAUCCAACCAUUCCUCCAUCUUCAUGAGCUUUCUCUUCUCCUUCUUUCCUUCUCUUUCAAUUGUUCAUGUCUUAGCUUGCUUCUCUUGAAUUUUUGUUCGGAAUUUUCAUUUCUUAAGAGCUUUGCUUCGGUUCAUUUGUUUAUUUGUUGUUCUUCAUCAUUUCUUCUUCAUUUCUAGUCUUUUGUUCGGUGCAUUUCUGUUUUUGUGUUGUUUAAUCGGUGCCUUUGCCUUUUCUUCCAUUUCAAUCGGUUCAAUUUGACAAAACAUGGAACUUCCAUAUGAGUUUGGGUUUUGGUACUAGUCUUGGUGAGUUCUUGUUCAUAGAACCUUGAUCCAAUUCUAUGAUAAAGUGCCUAUCUCAUAUCCAACUCAAGAUGAUUCCUAAGAAUGUCAAGAAUCAUUCAAAGUGUGCUAGUGGUUUCUCCUGACUCAACCUGGUAAACCUGCGGCGCUAUUUCCCAGCAACUGGCUACCUGAUUAUUCUGGGUGUUUUCACUGUCUCUUGUAUUAACGAUCGAUGGCUCCUUCUCGUUCCUUCCAACGUGCUAAUCUGUUGGAUUUCUGUCGUAUUUCCCGUAGUGGUUCGAGGUGUCUUCAGGGUCUCUUGAAUCACCGUCCUCUAUCUUCCCCCCUUGCGCGAACUGGCGAGUUUUCCAAGCAAGUCGGCUCAGGCAUUUUGUUCUCUGGAUACAUGAACUAGCUCAAACACAUCGAACGACUCCUUCAGGACCUAGACGUAUUCUAGGUAUGCGACCAUCUGAGGGUCUUUAGCUUGGUAUUCCCCCGUGACCUGGCCUGUAACUAACAAGGAAUCGCUCUUUUCUAACAACCCCUUCGCUCCCAUCUCCUUAGCCAACAGCAUCCCCGCAAUCAGGGCCUCAUACUCUGUCUGGUUAUUGUUGGCUUUGAAAGCGAACCGUAAGGCCUGCUCAAUCAGCAACCUAUCCGGUCCCUCCAAGAUAACACCUGCUCCACUACCUUGUUGGUUUGAGGAACCAUCUACAGAGAGUACCCACCUGAAAUCUGCCCCUUCUUGGUGCGUGGCUGCAAAUGAGAGUUCCACUAUGAAGUCUGCAUAGAUCUAGGUUCGUAGUGUAUGUCGAAUUCAGACAGUUUCACCGCCCAUCGCACCAUUCUUCCCGCCACAUCCGGUUUCUGCAAAACCUUGCGGAUUGGAAGGUCUGUCAUCACUAUCACGGUGAAGCUCUGAAAGUAGUGGUGGAGUCUUCUUGCUGAGAAUACCACCGCUAAGGCUACUUUCUCUAAGGCCUGGUAUCUCACCUACGGCCCCUGCAAUACCUUGUUGACGAAAUAGAUUGGCCUCUGUAUCUGGUCUUGCUCCUGCAAUAGGACCAAACUGAUCGCCCUUUCCGUAACUGCGAAGUAUAAACGGAGCGAAAUACCUAACUCUGGCUUGCACAACACCGGAGGGCAGGCCAGGUACUCCUUCAAUUUGACGAACGCCUCCUCACACUCGCGGGUCUAGACGAACCUAUUGUUCCUCUUCAGGCACUGGAAAUAAAGGUGUCCUUUAUCUCCUUCUUCCGAUACAAUACUGGGCAGUGGGUAGGAAUCCUUUGCACAGGCCUUGUUGAGGUCCGUGAAAUCAACACACAUCCUCCAUUUUCCGCUGGCCUUUUUUACUAAUACCACAUUGGCUAACCAUUCGGGGUACUGGAUUUCUCUGAUGUGGCCAGCCUUUAGUAGUUUAUCCGUUUCUUCUCGUAUGACCUGGCGCUUUACUUCGUUAAAUUUCCUCCUUCUCCGGCGGACUGGUCGGACCUUGGGGUCCAUGGUGAGGCGAUGGCAUAGGAAAUCGGGGUCAAUACCGAGCAUGUCAGCGGCGGUCCAUGCGAACGCGUCGAGGUGUCGCGCUAUAACCCCAACAACCUGAUCUUGUGACUCCUUACUCAAGGACUGCCCAAGUUUGAACAUCUUUCCUUCGAUCUCCUUCUCCACCACACCUCCAGCAGGCUCGGGUCGGUUUUCUCGGAUGAUCUCUUCGCGGGUCACUCUGUCUUCUCUCGGUGGCCUAGUGGUAACAGAAAACACCCCUCUCUUUGUCUUGAGGCUGUUUUCGUAGCACCUCUUCGCCUCCUUCUGGUCAGAUUUGAUGGUGAUCAUUGUUCCCCCGAGGGAAGGCAGUUUCAUCUUCAUAUGCCUCAUGGAGGGUACUGCUCCCAACCUGUUUAAAGCUGGUCUCCCUAACAAUAUGUUAUAGGCAGAAGGAGCGUUAACAACGAGGUACCUGAUGCUGGCAGUGCGUGAAGACUCGCCAUCCGUGAACGUUGUCCUCAACUCUAUGUGUCCACAAACCUCCACCUCGUCCCCUGCAAAACCAUACAAACAUUCGGUGUAGGGUCUUAACUGGUCCGUGAAUAGCUGUAACUGGUUGAAGGCCGUCAAAAACAUCACGUCGCCCGAACUUCCUUGGUCCACGAGAACGCGAUGCACCCUCCUCCCUGUUGUAACUAGUGAGAUCACUAUUGGAUCGUUGUCGUGAGGUACAACAUCCCGGAGGUCGGCUUUUGUGAAGGUGAGGUCGACGUUAGGGAUCAGGUCUGUCGGUUGUACCUCCACCGUCAUUACCCCUCGCGCGUACUUCUUGCGCUGGGAGGCAGUACAGCCUCCUCCUGAGAUAGUAUUUACCUCCCCGUGGAUAGGCACCUCGUGCCCCUGAUCUGCUCCUGUAGCUACCAACACCUGGUCGUCCUGUGGCUCUUGAAGAUAGUCCUUCAAGAAGCCACUAUUCACUAGUUCAUCUAGUUGAUGCGCCAAGGCCAAACAAUUACGUAUGUAGUGGCCAUUUGCCUGGUGAAAUUCACACCAAGCAUUCUUGUUAGGCCUCAUCUUCCUAUCGGUCUUCGUCGGUACCUUCAGCCUUGCCGCUAUAUUUGGGAUAACAAUCAACUCCUUGAGCUCCACUCGGAAGUUAUGUUUCAAGGGAGGAUCCCUUCAUGCACGUGCCCCAACCUGGGCCCGUUCAUAGGGUUUUUUCGCCCCCUUUUUCUUUGUGGUCGCCUCGUGCACCCUCAUAGGCUGAGGUCGGACAGCUGCCCGAGGUUGGACAGGGCCGACGAGAGCUUGCUUCUACGUUACCCGAUCAUCUGCGGCAAUGUGCGCUAACGCUCGGCGUCAAAUCUCCGUGAAUGUUUUCGGGUAGAACCUUAACAGUGAUUCACUGAAGGGCCCAGGUAGCAUUCCCUUGACAAAGGCAUGUACUAUCAUGGCCUCAUCAAUUGGCUUGAAUCUCACCACUUGGAUCCCAAACCUGUUCAGGUAGUCCUUCAUGGACUCUCCCUGAUACUGUUUGACAUAAAAAACAUCAUAAGAAAGUCAGGCGGGGGCCUUAUUCACAAGGUAUUGUUCCCUAAACAGUGUAGCAAACUGGUCAAAGUUGGUGAUGUGUCUGUCGGGAAGGCUAACGAACCAUUUUAACGUCGCGCCUAACAGCGUGCUCAUAAGCAUCUUACAGUACAUGACGUCAGAUCCUCCAAUGAGCAUCAUCUGGGUGUGAAACGCCGUGAGGUGGGCCUCUGGGUCCUCUACUCCUGUGAAAGAGACCUUUGGGCCUAGAGACGUUGUUGGUAACGUUGUAUUCAUGAUUGUUCGUGAGAACGGCAUGGGACGUGCCCUAAGUGGUGCCGGCGGGGCACGUUCGUCUGUCGCGUGUUCCCCUACCUGUUGCAAAUCCCUAUGCAGUUCUUCAUUGGCGCUGCGCAAUUCUACGUUGUCUGCUCGAGAAGCCGCUACCUCCGCUUGGAGGGCACGCAUCGUCUCCAAGAUUUGCUGCGUGGUAACGUUGUCCCUUUCGAAGGGUACCCUUCCUGCGGAUCCAGUAACUGCUUGCCUUGUACUCCUCAUAUUGUUGGUAAAGACUCUUCACAUGACUGUGAGUGGGACCUUGUUUUAACGGGCACCACGGAGGGCGCCAAAUGUUUCUGCCCAUUGACCUAAAACGUCUUCGUGCGUUUACGUCACUCUCAUGUCCAUAAUCCAUACGCUUUCACGUGCUUUCCCUUUGAUGAAUGCCUGAAAACACAAAGACAAAGGGCGCCCUAAAGGUCGUUUACACUCCGACGCUCAAGUCAAUCUUAGGGCUAGGAAACACCAAAACUGUUUAACGUAAGACUGUAACUGUGUGUGUUAAGCGACACAAAUGAAUAGCGUACCUUACUAAGUAUGUUACAUCCCUUUAUAUAGGUUGAAACUAGGGUUUCCACUUUACCCAAAAUGGGCUUUCUGAGUGGGUGGGCCCAACACUGUUGUUACCCACUCUUAGGAUAUCCUAGCGCGUGGGGUUCCUUAACAGGAGUGCAACCUCUGACGGGGUGACCACCUGGAUGCCUCCUCGUGCACCUGAUCUCUGGGGUCACCCACCUAGGAAGCACCCUAGCUGUUCACGUGUCAUGCAUGCAACUCACCCCUGGAACGUGCCCCUCACAGGUCGCAUCUUUCCAGAGGCUCUGUACUUGUGUUACGCCUAAACGCGUCAUCCACUCCACACGCAUGGACCCUCGUGACCUAGGCUUUUCCCUCACUAAUAACUGGCGUGUGGUCUGGGAUCCACCUCUCGUGGCCCAGCUUUGUUGUUCGUGUCCUCGAUGUCCGACCUCUCCACACUGACUAGUGGCACGUCGGUACAUCUUGGUGAUCGAUGUCUAACCACUCUUUGGUUCCUUGGCGCUCGUGCCUCGCAAGAUACUGACCCACGCCGCUCGUGGGACCCCGCUUACGUGGCCCCAACAUCACUAGUGGUCAACGACACCCGAGGACUGGUCAGUACAACUAUUAACUUAUCAUGACUCUUGGGCCCGCCUUCCAUGGCCCUUUACAACACUCAGACAACCAAUGUCCGAUCUUCUCCCUCCCUUGGUUGAGGUCCGAUAUCGAUCUCCAACAUCGGUCUCAGGAUAGCAAUAUCAGAGACCAACCAAUUCCCUGGUAGGUGAGUCUGGGGCCCACCUCCCUUGGCCCCCUUCCAUUACCAAGCAUUGGUGCGCAAUGUCUGAGCGUUCGAUCAACAUUUAAUAACUUAAUUGUUAUUCACCAAAACCUUUGGUCAGAAACCAAUAACCUAAUCGUUAUUUACCGAAGCGUUCGGCCAACACUUAAUAACUUAAUUGUUAUUUACCAAAACCUUUGGUCAGAAACUAAUAACCUAAUCGUUAUUUACCGAAGCGUUCGGUCAUAAAUUCAUAACUUCAUUGUUAUUUACCAAAACAUUUGGUCAAAAACUAAUAACCUAAUCGUUAUUUACCGAAGCGUUCGGUUAGAAAUUCAUAACUUUGUUAUUUACCAAGCAUUCAACCAAGGACUCAAGUUAAUUUACCAAAGUUCUUAGUCUGAAAUUUAUUCAUAACUUAAUCGAAGCGUUCGAUCAACACUUUAUAACUUAAAAACUAUUUAUCAAGUUCUUGGUCUGAAAUUCAUUCAUAAGUUAACCGAAGCGUUCGAUCAACACUUUAUAACUUAAAAGUUAUUUACCAAUUUCUUGACCUGCAAUUCAUUCAUAAGUUAAUUAUCAUUCUUACCACUCAUUCGGUCAGUUGUCAAUAAAAAAAUGCAUACAUAUAUAGAGAUAAAAUCAUAAAAGCCACACAAGUAUAUUGUUCAAAAUAGUCAAAUGUAAAAGCAUGGAAAAGUAUAAAGUUGUUCAAGGCCCACAACCCGGGUCCAAGUAAUUGUAAUUUAAAUAAUUUCGAUCGACUGAUCUGGUUGAGCGACCUUGGUCUGUUGAUCUUCCAUCACCUGGUCGGCACCUCCCCUAAGUGGCACCAGCUCACCAUUAACCACAUCUUUUUCCAAGUUGUACCUCGAAUCUUCAGUCAGCACUCCAUGGAAAAAAGCGGCAUGCCGAACACCUUGGUAGAAGCUUUCUUCAUUAAUGCGCAACAUGAACUCCUGGCAUUUUUCCAUUUCAGCGCUCAAAGAUUCUCUUUGGGCCUCGACAUCAGCUUUUUCCUUUAAAAGUUAAUCUCGUUCGGCCAUCACUUUGCCAAGAGUUGCCUUUAAUGUUUCCUGUUUUUCUUUAGCCAAUCGCUAUUUCUUCUGCAUUUCCUCCCUACAGGUGUCGACAGCCUCUAAAGUCGUUUUUAAGGAGUUGGCUGAUGCCAACAAUUCAGCCUUUAGCUUGGGCACCACCUCCGUCUGGGCCCUACUCAACUCAUAACCAAGAGCCUUACCUACAAAGGUGGUCCGACUCUGCAAUUCCACAAACUCUUCUAUCAAAUCUUUUAUCAUCUUCCGGACGAAGGUCAAACUGCAUAGCUUGAGCCACUCGCAAGGAGGGACUCAACAUCGUCAGCGAUCUACCGGAUGACUGCCCCAUCUCACAAUCUGUCUGGGUCUUGGGAGGACGCCCCCUUUUUCGAUUGGCCGUUGGGGGAACCACCACCACUGUCGGUGCAACUUCCUCCACCACAAUCGUUUCCUUCCCUACCCCAACAAGGCUGCUUAACUUUCAUGCGGUCGCCUGGCGUUUCAGGUUACUCAUAAAGUUGCUCAAAGUCGGGUCCAUCUUUUUGACAAUAUCUACAAGAUACAAAUACAAUUAAACAACAUUAAACGUAGAAGAAGUACGACUGAAAGCAAGAAGUCCAUAUACCAGUGAAAUCUGCCCACUUCUUGGACGACCCAUACAAAGCUAUCAGCUCUCGAGUGGGAAACUUAUAGGGCAGUUGGUUCAUGAAAACUAGGAUCUCCUUGUCAAAGGGCGACAUAAAUGACCAUAACCAGUUCCCUAGUUGAGUUGGUUUCUCGGUCCAGUGGAAGGGAAACUUGGUCAUCCCGUUCUCAUUAUAUAAAAGGUCUUGGUCAUCCGGCUCAACAAAGAUUUUAAAAUAUUUUUCUUUAAAGUUUUUGUACGAUGUGGUAAAUGCAGCAAACUGAAUAUUCCCCGGUCGACUUGAGAAAGACAACCAACUCAUAGGAGUGCUCGGACGUGUGUUAUAAUAAUGCAAAAACGACUCGGGAGUAGGCUGAAGCUUGAAAAUUUGACACAACAACCGAAAUGCCUGAAGAGUUGCCCACGAGUUAGGAUGUAACUAUGUGGGUGCAACGUUAAGAAUCCGAAGGACUCCCAUUGUAAAGUCAUCAAAAGGUAAUGUUACAUGCAAGUCAGCAAAAAAGGUGUUAUAUACAAAGAAAAAAUCAUGCGGUGCAUUUUCUCGACCGUGACAUACAUGGUCGGUCACGCCACAAAUAUCCGCAACUAUCGCUUCAGAUGGACAGUCAGGUGUCAAAAAAUUAUUUUCAGAGAGAAAUUGAUCUAAACUAUCAGAGGUCCUAAUCCGGGUGGGAAUUUUGAGAACCGAAGGGUUGACCCAAUCAUAACUAAGGUCGUCCGACGACUGACGUGCGCUACCAGAUGGAGUGUGAGUCACAAACGACUCGACAUUACCAACAUUAUGGGAAGAUUCUACACAAGAAGGCAUUACUAGCCUGAUUACACGACAAACUCAAAGGAAGCAGAAGACUUGACACUCAGAGCAAACAGCGCAACCCUUGCAAGAAGAGAAAAAGUGUAAAACUUUAAACCUCUCAAUGAAACGCUAUUUAUAGCCAACAGCGUAGGAGAGAGAAUCCCCUACCAUUCGUCCCGCACCGUUGGAUCUAGUGCGAUCCAAUGGUUAAACCCACUCGGCAUACGAAACGACACAUAAUCUCCACCGUUGAAGGCAUCUGAUGAAAUGAUUGUUAGAAUUGAUGGCUUUAAACUAGAGGGGGGGUGAAUUGUUUAAAGAAUAUUUUCGCAAACUUUUAAAACAAGAAUGAAUUUAUCUCAGGAAACAAUUGAUAAGAAAUUCAGUUUACCAAAAAACAUAAAGCAAAGCACAACACUGGAAAAACAAUCGGUUGUUUUACCGAAACAAUCGGUUGUUUAUACCAGUUAUCAAAUACAAAACUGAAUUUAAAGAGAUAGGGAUAGAGAGAUUGCACACAGAUGUUUAUACUGAUCACUCUAAACCUAGAACUACAUCCAGUCUUCUCAGAAACCCUGAGGAAAUCCACUAAGCAAUCACAACUUGAUCACUUUCACAAUAACCAAGAGAAUGACCUUGAACACCUCAAGACACACACUCUUCUUGGCCAACACACCAACACCAAGAUUGUUGAUCUUGAUCCCCUCAAGAACACACAGCCAAUCUCAGCAAACACAUAAAUGAAACUUGUUUCACAAAGAAUACAAGGAUUAAACUUGUUACAGAAGAUAAUCUGAAACUAAUACAAGCAGAAUCCUAUUCCACAACUUUGAUCAAUCACAAACUUUCAACAAUCUCAGCUCUUUGAAAAACUCAAAAACUCUUAGCAAAAACUUGUCAAAGAUUGAUUCUCAAAUCUGUUUUUCUGAAUUUAUUCAAAGAUGUAGUUUGUUAUCAAAUCAGAAGAUAAUCUGAAAUCAAUACAAGCAGAAUCCUAUUCCACAACUUUGAUCAAUCACAAACUUUCAGCAAUCUCAGCUUUGAAAAACUAAAAAACUUUUAGCUAAAACUUGUCACAAACAAUCGGUUGUUUCUUCGAAUCAAUCGGUUGUUUUGGUUCUUAACAGUUCAACCAUUUUAAAAAUAGUUUUCAAUCUUUUUCUCAAAACAUCUAAGUACAAACAAUCGGUUGUUUCGACAAAACAAUCAGUUGUUUUAACUUACUUUGAAAACAUUUUACUUUCACAAAGAUUGAAAUGCUUAUGCUUUAGAUUCGAUCAAGGGGUGGAUUAUAAUACUCAAACUACCCCAGAACUAUACUAAACCAGCACAGCAACACCAAGCACAACAAAGGCUUCAUCAUCCUUCAAAGCUUUGAACACCACUUGGUUGAACACCACUUGGUUCAACAAUGAUGCAUUACGAAACAACGACUUUGCCAAAUGUCACAUCAUUGCCAUGCAUUCAAUGCUGCCAACUAUCACGCACUAUCUCGGGAUCCCUAGCCAUCCUACACGACUCUUCAGAGAUGAAUCUCUUUGAGCCUGGGGGGCAAGUGUAUCGGUUGGUCACUGGACGACCGAGUCAAACAACGCACAAUAUAACAAAUGCGUAAUAAAACAGUUGUAACUGAAGUUGAAUAAGUCAAAGACACACUUCAAGAUACACCCCCGUGAUAUCAGGAAACCACCACACACGAUCUGAAGAACACUACGCACGUCAUGGUGAACGGAUUAUCUGACCCACACAAGUGGAGGCCCAAGUCAACCUAUAAAUAAGACUUUUGAAGGGGAAAAUGUACGUUUUUUCAUAUCCUAAGAGAAUAGACCAAAAUACUAGCAUUAACUUGAGCGUCGGAGUACAAUCGCAGGUACCCCCGACCGGCGGAGAACACACACAACGAAGGAAGGACUUCAAAGGAUUAGAAGAUCAUCAGCACGACAACGAAUUGUGUACCAGUGGAUAAACAUUACCUAGGCCCCGUCAUCCAUACAGGUAAUGUACCUGAGUGGAAAGAUGGGGCCCAGGCACGGUCGGUUGAUGUAGUAUAAUUGUUGACAUGUCGGUCUUCUUCUCUUUCGGUCGGUCGCUCCUUCUUGGUGUCUCCUUCGGUCGGGCGGGGGAGGGUACCUGCGAAGGCACUCCGACGCUCAAGUAAGUAUGAGAUUCUAAGUGUGGUUUAGUAAGUGAAUGAAAACGUACCUUUCUCUGGCUUGAGCAUAGUAUUUAUAGGAUUGUCUAAUGGGCUUUCUAUCCCUUGGGCUUGGGAUGGUUAUGGAUAGGUUUUGUCAAUCGUGCUCCGGAAUACCCGGGGAACAUAUCUUCUUUUAACGCGUAUUCCUUAUUUUGCGGAGGUGUAUCUUAACUGCUUUAACUUGUUACGGGGUGCACUUACAUUUAUUAUGCGUUCGGUCGGUCGGUCGGCUAUGUGCGUUCGUCCGGUGCCUACCGGUACACUUGCCCCCCGCUCGAGGUGAAUAAAAGCCGAAGAGGCGUAAUGAUUGUUUGGGUUUUCCAAGGUGUCAGAAAUUAAUGAUAACGGCAUGAUGGGACAUUUUUCUUUUUGUUGAAGGCGGCGGAGAUGGAUCUAGCGGUGUGGAUUGAGUGGCGGUUCAACUACCGGCUGAUGGAGGCCGUAGGAUGAAUGGAGAUCUAACGGAUGAGGGUGAGGGGGAAACGCUAUAAAUAGCGCUUGCAUUUGCAGAGGGACUACGUUUUCUAGAGUUCGGCAUCCGAGUCGCUCCGAGCGCCGAGUCCAAAUUGCGAGUUGUGUGGCUGUACGAUCUGUCAUUGCCGACCGAGCUGUGAUCUGUGAAAGGUUAGUUAUGUCGUCCCAACUUUCUUCAAAUAGAAUAGGGAGUAGAGAGUCGAGCGAAAGUGGGGAGUCGUCAUCCGGUAGUAGUGAGAGUACCAGUGGGUCGUUGGGACCGACCUACGAUUGGGUUGAGAUUGCCGUUAGGAACGCUGCUACGAUGCUUAGGAAACCUGAUGACCUGGAUAAGGUGAUAGCAAAGGCUUCCCUUGUGCGUUCAGGUCUGCCGUCGGACAUGAUAAUUGCCGAGAUAUGUGGGUAUACCGAUCGUGUGUGUCAUGGGAGGGAAAAUGCUCCUGUAGAUUUUUUCUUUAUGUAUAAUACUUUGUUUGUUGAUUUAAGAGUGACCCUGCCGUUCGAUGAGUUUACGACUGAAGUGCUAAGGUUUCUCAACCUAGCGCCGACUCAGCUUCACCCGAACUCAUGGGCGUGUUUACAGGCCUACCGGAUGGUGUGUCAGCUCUUUGACCUGACGCCCAGAGCGGAGGUUUUCUUAUUUUAUUAUAAUACGUAUCCGGCCAACCCAGUAAGUUGGGUUUCGUUGGUGAGUCGUCCGGGGUGUGUUCGUUUUGCGGCCUUCACCACGUCAUACAAAAAUUUCAAGGAAAGGUAUUUCAAAGUGUUUGUAGAGCCGGACGGUCGAGAACAUUUUUAUCUGGCCGAGGGUGGCACCAAAUUUCCUUUUCAUUGGACGCAGAAUCCAACGGCUCUCAAUAUGAAUUCCCGAACGGCCGUGUCAGCAAUGGGCCAGGCUGAGAUGGCAGUGUUCGAUCAGCUCCCUCACAAGUUGCCUACGAGGGAGAUAAUUUCUUUAUAUACGUCGUCCGACCCUUGGGCGGAUUUUGUUGGUAUGUUACUUUGUAAUUUGGUUUGAUCGGGUUGUUUCAUUAAUAGUGUAUAAUUCCUGUAUGUUUUGCAGAGAUAAUGACUCGGACGGAUGCAUCCCUUAGUGCUUACAUGAAUGACUUACGCCGACAAAGGAAUCGGCAGGGUGGUUCGGUCGAGGCGAGUGGGGUGUUGACGGUUCAGCCGGCCACCACUGUUCCUGCCGGGGGUGCUUCAGCUGCGGGGGCUGCCAAGAAAAGGGGGCGGCCUGCCAAAGGGAAUCAAGAAGGGAGAGCGGGUCCUUCCCGGAUGACCUCGGAGCCGACUUUGCUAACGGUCGGCAUGGAGGUGGCGGCUCAUUUGCAAGUGGAGCUGACGGCGGAGGACAACGAGGUUUUUUCCACCAUUCCCACAUCUAAGCUGAUGGUGGAAACCUUGGAGUUACAAAGCCGAGCGCUCAUAGCGAGCCGAACGGUGGUUGAAGAACUCGAGAGAGUGACGACCAUCACCGUUCCUCGGUUGAAAAAGGACGUGACCGAGGCCACCCAAUCUGCAAAGGCGGCGACCGAGAUGGUCGAGAAAUUGAAAGCCCAAGUGGAGGAGAAACGGACGGCCGUGAAAGCGCAAGAGGGAUUGACGAAGAACCUCGAGGCGCAACUAAAAGAGGGAGCCGACCGGGAGGAGGUGCUGAAAGCAGAAGUGGCCAAGUGCCAUGACUUUAUGCUUCGUAUCAGCGAAGAGUAUUUCCGGUUGGGUAUCCAACAAGCGGCCUGUUUGCAUGGGGUACCAAUGGAAGACGACCGAUACGAUAUCGAAAAAAUAGUGGUCGAUGGAAAUUUGGUCCCGACAAACCCGGACGACAACUCUAAUGAAGAGGCGGAGGCGGAGACUCCUGGUCCACAGCCGGACGCCUCAUUCGAGGAAUUAAUGAACAAUGUUCCUUAAAAAAUUGCUGGUCCCGACAUGUGGGCAAGAUACACUUGUAUUUUGAGUAUAUAUAGUUUAGGUAGUGCGUAGGUCGAACAAGUAUUUAUAAUUGCUAAACAUGGUUUGGUUUAUAUAAGUAGAUUGAUGCUAAUGUGGAUGCCGAACGAAGCAUAAACGGUGCUAGUUACGUUAAAGUAAAAAGAUAACUCGGAUGUCGAACGAGGCAUGAAUGAUUAAUUAUAUUUAAGUAAUAAGAUAAUUCAGAUGCCGAACGAGGCAUAAAUGAUUCUAAUUACAUUUAAGUAAUAAGAUAAUUCAGAUGCCGAACGAGGCAUAAAUGAUUCUAAUUACAUUUAAGUAAUAAGAUAAUUCGGAUGCCGAACGAGGCAUAAUUAUUUCUGAAUAAGUCAAGUAAUAAUGGUAAUUCGGAUGCCGAACGAGGCAUAAUUAUUUCUGAUUACGUUAAGUAAUAAUGGGAAUUCGGAUGCCAAACGAGGCAUAAUUAUAUCUGAUUACGUUAAGUAAAAUGGUAAUUCGGAUGCCGAACGAGGCAUAAUUAUUUCUGAUUACGUUAAGUAAAUGGUAAUUCGGAUGCCGGACGAGGCAUAAUUAUUUCUGAUUACGUUAAGUAAUAAUGGGAAUUCGGAUGUCGAACGAGGCAUAAUUAUAUCGGAUUAUGUUAAGUAAUAAUGGUAAUUCGGAUGCCGAACGAGGCAUAAUUAUUUCUGAUUACGUUAAGUAAUAAUGGUAAUUCGGAUGCCGAACGGGGCAUAAUUUGGGAGUGAAAAAGAAAUAGGAGACGGUUUUUAAUUUAUAGUGCCUCGUUAAAACCUUCUCGGUCGUAAAACCCUCCUUAGGGAAAAAACCGACCGAGCGAGGAAAGAGUACACUUUUAUUAAGUUCAAUUGUAAUAAAAUUUGAGAUGCGUGGCAUUCCACGUUCUCGGUAUUGUUGAAGAUGGUUGCUGCCCCUUCAAGAUUGUGUUUGAUGAAGUCUUGUAUGCUGUGUUUGAUGAAGACAUUUAUGUACUUUCCAUGUAUUUUGUGCUUUGCUUUAAGUGUGUCUUAGUUAGUGCUUAGAGAUUGUCUAAGAGUAGCUUUUUGCUGAGUAUCUCACCUCAUAACCACUGGCCAUGUGUUAAGAACAAGCAUGAGUUUUCUAAAACUGUUUUUCACAUGUUUUACACAAAAACACGUUUUACUGCAUAAAAAUAAAUCUGUUCUUUUCUAAAUAAACAAAUUCAUUUUCUUCACUGAUGCCUUGGCUAAAGUCUUGUAAAAAUUUGAUUUUGUGCAUCAGGUAUUUUGACUGAGUCUUCUUCUUUUCAAAACGACUGAGUUUCAAAUAGUUAAACUUCCUCUGUUUUCGUUUUGAAAAAUAAAUCUGUUCAUCUGUAAAUGAAUAGAUUCUUUUUGCCUCUGGUGCCAUAUCAUACUUAAACGUUUUUCAGUUUUAUCUAAGCACCAGAAUGGUUGACUAAGUCUCCUCACUUAACAGUUUCUCUAACUGCUUUUGAAAAUAAAUCAGUUCAUUUUAUUUUCAAUCUGUUCAUUUUAUAACAGCUUUAACUGUUUUUCAAAAUUCUGUUAUAAGCUGGCUUUCUAUAAAAUGCAAACUUGUUUUCUGAGUUUAAUAACGAUUCAAAACAGUUUAUACAUUUGCAAAAAAACAGUUUUGACAGCAGAGAGUUAAGUGUUUUCAAGGAUUAGCAUUUGUUCUUCAAAGAUUUCAAAAAUCAAAAAGUGCUUGUUCUUGGUUUGGUUCCAAAAGCUUGGUGUGAGGUGCAGCUACUGUUCUAGCAAUCUUGCCUACUGGGUUAAGGCAGAUCUUUGUUACCUCAAUCAGGUGUAGUCGUUUCACUUCUUAUUACUUGUAAUAGUUUGGUUGAAUCCUCUUCUUGAUAGGUGUUCUUGGAGAGUGGAUGUGUGUGUAUGAGUGCUGAAAUAGGUUUUUUCAGCAAGAGUACCUAAGUUCUUGUAGGUUUCAAGAACAGUGGGAAGUGUACUUGAUUGUACUGUGUGUUAGUGAAUUCCACCUGUUGUUGGUGAAGACUGGAUGUAGCUCAGGUUGAGUGAACCAGUAUAAUUGUUUGUGUUCAUCCUCUCUCUCUCUGCAAUUUCGUUUCUGCAUAACUGAUAAAACAGCAAAGAAAUAAAUCUGUUCAAUUGAAAAUAAAUCUGUUCUUUCUGGGCGCUGUGCAUACUGUUCUUGAUUUCUGAAAAAGCUGUUUUAAUCUGAUAAGAACAUAUAAAAUCUGCUAAAAGCCCCUGGAACAGAUUGACUGUGAUAGGUUGCUCAAGAAACUGUCAAUGCCAUUAAUUGAACCUUAAACAAUUGCUUAAAGUUGAAGCUUGCUGUUCUGUGAUUAAGUGUUCUUAGUUUCUGAAAAAUUGCUUAACAUCAAGAAGAACAUUCAUAGUCUGUUAAAAGCCACUGGAACAGCUUGUUUGCAAAGAUCNNNNNNNNNNNNNNNNNNNNNNNNNNNNNNNNNNNNNNNNNNNNNNNNNNNNNNNNNNNNNNNNNNNNNNNNNNNNNNNNNNNNNNNNNNNNNNNNNNNNGCUUGCAGUUUUGUGUUUCACUGUUUUUCAAAUCUGAUAUUUGUGUGUGUGCUGCUGGAAAUUUUCACUGCAUAAUCUUGUGAUUAAUCUUGCUGAAUUAAAAGCUUUUCAAACAAAAACAGUGCUGAAAUAAAUCUGUUCAUUUUUACAUAAAUCGAUUUAUUUUCUGUAAAACUGGGUUAAACACUGUUUCUGCGAAGAAGUUUUUAAAAGGUCAAUUCACCCCCCCUCUUGAACUUUGGCACUAUUAAACCCAACAGGUAUGUCCUUCCCAGAUAAAUGUUCUAAGUAAUAGGCUCCACCAGCUGCCAUAUCUGCUAUGCGGAACGGUCCUUCCCAGUUGCUAGAGAACUUGCCUCCUUCCUUUCUGGCGCUACUCCGCAUCAGCCAUACUAAGUCGCCUUUGUGGAACAGUCUCGGUUUGACCUUGGAGUUGUAUCGUCUGGCCGCCCGAAUUUUGCAUGCUUCUUCUCUAAUUCUACACUUGUCCCGAAGUUCGUUGAUGAGAUCGAGGUCGACCGAGAGACUUUCCUUGUUUAGAUCAAGAUCAAGGGUUUGUCGGCGGAGAGAAGGUUCUCCAAUCUCGACGGGAAUCAUAGCUUCGGUACCAUACGUCAGGCUGUACGGCGUUUCUUGUGUAGUCGUCUGAGGAGUACAACGAUAUGCCCAUAAGACCUCUAAGAGUUCUUCCGUCCAGUUACCUUUUGCUGGACCGAGACGUUUCUUCAGUUCGUUCAGGAUGACCUUGUUUGCAACUUCUGCUUGUCCGUUUGUUUGCGGAUGUUCGACUGAACUAGCGAUGUGUUUGAUGUGGAGCUUCUCGUAAAAUUCAGCUAACGUCCGGUCGGUGAAUUGCCGACCGUUAUCGGUGAUGAUGAUCUGUGGAAGCCCGAAGCGGCAAACGAUAUUUUUUCAUACGAAAUUUUGGACAUUGCGGGCGGUGAUCGCCGUCAGAGACUCGGCUUCGAUCCACUUGGUGAAGUAAUCAAUGCCGACCAGUAAGAAUUUACACUGGCCUUUACCGGGGGCGAAGGGGCCAAUGAUGUCCAUACCCCAUUGGACGAACGGCCAAGGUGAUAGCAUAAAAUGAAGUUCCUCAGGUUUUUGAUGGGACAAAGUGCCAUACUCUUGGCAUUUAAGACAUUUUUGGACGAAAUUGGUGCAGUCGCCUUGGACGGUCGGCCAGUAGUAUCCGGCCCGGAAUACUUUGGCUGCCAUUGUUCGUGCGCCGGAGUGAGUUCCGCAAAUUCCUUCGUGCAAUUAUCGGACAACAUAGGAAGCUUGGUCGGGUGUCAAACAUUUAAGGAGUGGUCGGGUGUAACCUCAGCGGUAAAGGUCGUCGCCAAUUAAGACAAAACGGGCGGCUUGCAGCUUCAUGGUUUUUUCGCCGAGAGGACUACAUGUGUCGUCGAGUAAAUAUUGCUUGAUUGGGGUAAUCCAAGUAGAUUCCGCGUCGGUCGUCAGGCAUUCCUGUAGGUCGAUGCUUGGGCGUGUAAGUGUAACAUGGAUGACCGACCUAUGCAUUCCUUUACACUUCGUGGUUGCCAAACGGGACAAGGCGUCCGCGCGAGUAUUGUGAUCGCGUCGAACAUGCUGCAUGGAAAUUUUAGAAAAGGUGCUCAUCGACUGUUUGACUAAUGAUAGUAUCGCUGUAAAAAGCUUUCUCGGACUUCAUAUUCGUCAUUAAGUUGACCGAUGACUAGCCUAGAAUCACUUUUACAAAUUAACUUAGUGAUUUCCAAUUCUGGAGCAAGGCGUAGACCGGCUAAGAUGGCUUCAUAUUCAGCCUGAUUGUUUGAAGUUUUGAAAUCGAAUUUUAGGGCUUGCUCGAUGACAAUCUCGUCGGGGCCUUCCAAAACGACUCCAGCGCCGCACAACCUUUCGUUGGAGGAGCCGUCCACGUAUAGGAUCCACGAUGAGUGUUCAGUCUCGGCUGAGGAAGGAGUGAGUUCGGCUGCGAAAUCAGCAAGAGCUUGCGACUUGAUGGCCCCUCGUGGUUGGUACUGAAUAUGGAAUUCGGAUAGUUCUAUCGUCCAUCCGAUCAUUCGUCCGGCUAAAUCUGGUUUAGUGAGAAUCUUUACUAUGGGGUAAUUCGUCCGAACAAUAAUACGAUGAUUUUGAAAAUACAUCCGCAUUCGUCGGGCGGUAAUAACGAGAGCCAUAGCUACUUUUUCGAUCGUUUGGUAUCGGAUUUCGACGCCAUGGAGGGCGCGGCUGACGAAAUAAACUGGCCGUUCUUCAAAAUUAAUUUCUUGCACUAAGACUGAACUGACGACUUCGUGUGAAACGGCGAGGUAGACUAUAAUGGGCUCUCGGGCGUCCGGUUUCUGGAUGACCGGCGGGGAAGAUAGAAAAGUUUUCAAUUGGAGGAAAAUUUCUUCGCAUUCGGUCGACCACUCAAAGCGGAAUGCUUUUUUCAAUAGUCGGACGAUGGGUCUCGUUCGUUCGGCAAGUUUAGGAACAAAUCUGGAUAGAGCGGUGAGUCGGCCGAUAAGUCUCUGAAUUUCCUGAAUGGAGUUGGGACUUCUCAUUUCGGAGAUAGUUUUACAUUUCUCGGGGUUAGCUUCGAUGCCUCUAUGAGUUAGCAUAAAACCUAAGAACUUGCCCCCCUCGACGCCGAACGCACACUUGUCAGGAUUGAGUCGCAUCUGGUGUUGGCGGAGGGCCUGAAAAACUUCUUUUAGGUCAGCAAUAUGUUGUUUGCAUGAGUCGGACUUGACGACAAUGUCAUCAACAUAGACUUCAACAUUCCUGCCGAUCAUGUCGUGGAAUACAUGGUCCAUUAGUCUUUGAUAAGUGGCCCCGGCAUUUUUGAGUCCGAAGGGCAUAACUUCAUAGUAGAAAUUAUUGGAAUCAGUCAUGAAGGCUGUCUUCUUUCGGUCGGCCGGAUGCAUUUGGAUUUGAUUAUAACCUGAAUAGGCGUCAAGGAAGCUGAGGAUGUGAUGUCCGGCCGCUCCAUCAACGAGACGAUCAAUGGUNNNNNNNNNNNNNNNNNNNNNNNNNNNNNNNNNNNNNNNNNNNNNNNNNNNNNNNNNNNNNNNNNNNNNNNNNNNNNNNNNNNNNNNNNNNNNNNNNNNNNNNNNNNNNNNNNNNNNNNNNNNNNNNNNNNNNNNNNNNNNNNNNNNNNNNNNNNNNNNNNNNNNNNNNNNNNNNNNNNNNNNNNNNNNNNNNNNNNNNNNNNNNNNNNGAGCUAUUGGCCUAGCCUCUUUAUACAGUGAUAAUCGGUGAGUGAUAACCUGUGGGUCUACACCAGGCAUAUCAGCGGCCGUCCAGGCGAACAGAUCGGCAUUUUUAACAAGUGUCGUCCCGAUGGCCAUUCGUCGUCCGGUUUCAGCGAAGUGCCGAUGUGCGUAGUGUGGCGAUCAUCGCGAAGCGGGAAUGGAUGCAAGUCUUCUCCUGCUUCCAUACGGGGAUCGUCCAUACGAGGGUCGAGGUCAACAAGGGCUAUCAUCUGACGACGGGACAUGUGCCGUCCGGAAUGCCGAGUGGGGGACCGUCCUCGUUUUUGUGGGACUCGGUCGUCCGGAUUGGUUGUGUAGAGUCGUCGAGUUGGCUCACUUUUCAAACUUGCGACAUAACAUUCUCUAGCGGUUUUUUGAUCGACAUGGAUGGUUGCAAUGUCGUUAGUAUUUAUAGGAUACCUUUCUCUGGCUUGAGCAUAGUAUUUAUAGGAUUGUCUAAUGGGCUUUCUAUCCCUUGGGCUUGGGAUGGUUAUGGAUAGGUUUUGUCAAUCGUGCUCCGGAAUACCCGGGGAACAUAUCUUCUUUUAACGCGUAUUCCUUAUUUUGCGGAGGUGUAUCUUAACUGCUUUAACUUGUUACGGGGUGCACUUACAUUUAUUAUGCGUUCGAUCGGUCGGUCGGCUACGUGCGUUCGUCCGGUGCCUACCGGUACAGGUACAACUAUAGGAACUAAUUACUUUUAGUUUAUAAAAUUAGUUUCUAUUUUAUGAUUUUCUUAUAGGGAAUAACAAUACACCCAUUAGUCAUUAAUUGAUACAGUUGAACUAGUGCUUAUCAAACAAAAAUACACUUCAACUUGCUGAUAAAAAAAUAAACACUUCAACUACUACUGAAUAAUUUAAAUGAGUUUUUGGUAAAUAUUGACUUUAUCUCAUAAGAUAAACUCAAUUUAUUUUUUAAGAAAUGUUUAUAGAGAUAUAAUCUAAAAUAUGAUCUAUGACUUAUUCCUCCACAUAUUUAUGUAUGUGUACAUUGGGAAUAAACUCAAAAUCGCUUAUUAGAGUAGAAUAAUUUCAUACAAAUUCACGUAUUAAGCAGUUUUAUAAUAGUUUUUAAAAAUUAUUUUAAUAAAAUUGAUUGGUUGGUUCGUAAUACUGUAAGAGAAUUUAGGUUGGUUUAACAACCUAUUACUUACUAAGAGAUCUUACACCUCAAUCAAUCUGAAGUCAAUAUUCAAGGAAGAUCCAGUUUAGACACAUUCUUGAUCCACAUCAAAAACUCUUACUAAAAUAUUGAAGGAUAAACCAAAAUUCAAAUUUAUUAUUCAACGUAAGAAUACAACUUAGAAACGGUAACGUAAAUAAAUUUAAUUCAUUUACAUACGAAUAUGUUGGAAUUCACUUCUUCAAACUGACUUUUGAAAUUUUUUAAAAUUUAAUAAACUAAUUUUGUGUACCAAAUUAACAUCAAAAUUCCGCGUCUUGUAGAACUCCUUAAUUUUCUUUAUAAGUCAAUUAGCCAUUAAAAUGUAAAUUGUGAAAACAGAGGCUCCCCUAUAGUAUGAACGUUAUCUUAAAUAUUGAGGUUACGUUUAACGUCAUCGCAAGGUAGGCCAACCUUUUUGGAAAAUAAAAAAUGCAUCUUCCUUUUCUGCGGAUUAAAUUCUUGAAAGGGUGCCAAAUUAGUUAACUGUGCUUAUAAAAAUAAGUGGUGUUAUUUUUUACAUAACCUGUUAAUAACUAACAGAUUUAACAAUGAAAACCACUUAAAGAUAAUUUACCUAAACAUUUAGACGAAAAACAUGAAACAAAUGCUUGUAGUACUUGCAAUAAAUAAUAAUAUAAUUAAUUAAAAAUAAUAUAAAUUUUAAAGGAUAAAUUAUAUUGCUUAAUCUAAAAAUAUAUAAAAAAUUAUAAAAAAAAAUCAUUAAUUGAAUAAAUUAGAUAUUAUUUUAGAACUCAAAAAUUAUUAUUAGUAUAUUUAAAGUAUUUUAUAUUAUUAAUAAAUAAUUUCUAACUUAAUACUUAAUUAGUUACCAAAAUUUUAAUUAUCUGAUAAAUGUAUUGAUAUUAAUAUGUGUAUAAAAUAUAACUAAUGUGUAUCAAUGUAACAUACAUAACUAUCUGCACUUAUUGAAUACUUUCUGCUUUUUUUUUUUAGUUUGAGAACAAAAGCAAGAAAUAACCAUAUAUGAAUGUGCAGGAAUACAUUUUUGUGUGUUUGAUGUAAGGAAUGCCUUGUUGAUAAUAACAAGUAGGAUUUCGAACUCAACAAAAGGUAUUUGGAUUGGUUUGGAAUGAAAUUUUGCAUUAUUUUAUCAAACUCCAUUUAAUCUUGGUUUAACAUCUUUUUGUGGGGAGAGGAGUUUCGUGUAGUGAAAAGGAAUCAAACAAAAAGUAAUAAAUAAUCACUAAAAAAAAUCAUAAAAAUCAAUUUUAGAGAAAAAAUAAUUAAUUUAUAUAGUGAUUAAAUUAGUAUUAGUCAUAUUUUAUCAACAUUUGUAAUAAUUUGAAACACUAUUUUAAUUAAUGCACUUAAAUGUUUUACCUUAUUUAUAAUACGGAAACACAACACAGACGUGUGUAUUCGCAUUUUUAUUUUUUUUAUUUAUAUAUAUUUAUGUUUAAUAUUAAAACUCGAAUAAACAAUGUUAUAGUUAGUACGCUUAUAUUAACAAUAUAAAUUUAUAGUACAUUAUGAAUAAAAAAUGUUAUUAUCAUUAUAUAUAUUCCAUUUUUUUAUUUUCAUCAUAAUCAUAUGUGUAUUCAUAUUUAUUGAAAUGAAGCAUAAACUUAUGUGUAUUCGUAUCUUUUAAAUAUCAAUUUGUCUAUAUACCUAUGUUCUAAAAAGGAGAAAACACUCAUUUGAAAUGUUAUUAUUUUACAAUAAUGAAUUCUCCUUAAGAUACCAAAUAAAAAUAUUAAUAUUCAGAUGUCUUUCAUUUUUUUGACAUUAAAAAAAAAGUAUUCUUAAUGAAUAUCUUUAUUAAUUAAAUUAUAAAGAUAAUUAAUUAAAUUUAUAUUACUUAAGAUAUUACUUAAGUAGAAAACAUAAUUUACCUUUAAAUCAUCCUUUGUAAUUCUAUAUAAAACAUGUCAUCCAUAACUUUUAAGUUUUUAAAAAUUAUAGAUUUUAUUUAUUAUUUUCUUACCUGUGUAUUCUUAUCAAAAUUAAAAAAAAAAUGGACUUAUUAUCAUGGCUAAGUAUUAUAAUGUUUUUUUAAACCAAAUUUAGGCUCAAUAAAUUAUGGCACUGAAAGAGAAUGUCUAGGGAAACCUAACUGACUCAUUGGAUCAAGUUGAGGAAACUAUUGAGUAAAUAUUUGUAAGCCAAAAUUAUACCUUCACUAAUUGUAAGGCUGCAUUUUGACUGGAAUUUACACAAUUUCAAAUCAGUACGUACAUAUUUGACGAAGUCUUAUUCUCAUAGAUAAAACUUCUUUUCAACAAUGCCUUUAUUUUCUUUUUCACCCGAUCACACAACUUUGGUUCUUCCAUAGAAAGCUCAACAUAACAAAUCUCAAUGGUUUAAGGUGGCAGACACACCAAUGUCAUAUCUUUUAUUCUUGGCAAAGUAAUUGUUUCCGUCAAAACCUACAAAAUAAUCCUGGAAAAAUGCAACCUUACACAAAAAUAUAAGACAUAAACAUAUACUAAGAAUAAUUAUUAAUCAUCGUUAAAAUUAAUGUCAUAUCUUUUGUUCUUCGCAAAGCAAUUGCUUCCAUCAAAACCUACAAAAUAAACCAAGAAAGACAUAACCUUACACAAAAAUAUAGGACAAAAACAUACAAUAAAAAUAAUUAUUAAUCAUCGUUAAAAUUAAGUACAACAAAUGCAACUACAUUUCAACAUAACACCGUAGCAUAUAAACUAAAUAAAAACUAAACUAAUCAUGUGGACCUUUUUCUAAGCCAUGAUUAAGAAAACGAAACCCAAAGAUUUCACGCACUACAAAAAAUAUGUUUAUUAGCAUGGGUCAAAAAGGGAUAUUAGCUAUAAUAAAUGGACGCAAAAGUGUAGUUAUCAUUAAAAUUUGAAAGCUAAUAUGCUCAACAUAAAAAUAGUGGCAGGUGUGUGGGACACAAAUGGUGUGUUUUUUGCGUAGGCCUAGCCUACAUGCUGCCCACACAAAAUUAUAUUUUAUAUUGUUUAUUCAAAGAAACGUGGGUUUAGCCUACAAGUUGGCCACAUAAUUUUUAAACAAGCGUGGGUUAGCCUACAUGUUGCCCACACAAAAUUAUAUUUUAUAUUGUUUAUUCAAAGAAGCGUGGACUUAGUCAACGGAUUGGACAAACAAUUUUUAAACAAGCGUGAGCUUAACCUUCAUAAUUUUAUUACAUAUUUAAAUUUAAUUUAAAUAUAUAUAUAUAUAUAUAUAUAUAUUAUGUUUGCGUGGGCUUAACCUACAAAAUUUUAAAUUUUUAUUAUUAUUUAUUAUUUAUAGUUUCAAUUGUGACCGUUUGAUUCACGCAAUUUUUUUUCUUUUUUUUAGUUUAUGUCCAUAUAAUCCAUGCUUACUCACGCUUUAUUUUUUAUUUUUUUAAUAAUGAAGGCUUGUUGGACACUAUUUAGGGUUUUUAGCAUCAUCUUCACUUUCUUUUACAACUAAUUUUACUUUUUGGUGUAGUGACGCCAUUGAUCGAUAAUUGCAAAACCGGCCUUGAAGAGAUUGGAAUCGAGGUUGACCACUGCAACAUCCAUAGCUUUGCACUAAAACGAACUAGAACAUAAGAAAAACUCCACAUUUUCAAUUUCAAGAAAAAAUUCCACCUCUACCACUUGACCUUUAGCCCUAAAGGACACAACACCUUCUGUCAUCAACGAAAACAACCAGACUAAUGGCGGCGACUUUCUCAAGCCUCGGUUGUUUCGAUCGGGUUCUAGAUUAGGAAAGACGCGGACAUUGUCAGAUGCAAGAGGGAGAAAAGGAGGGCCGAUAAGGAGAGACAAUUUCAACCAUAAAUGACAACAAAUAAAAUAAAAUUUUAAAAAGUUAAAAACUACUUUAUUAACUUCUGAAAUUAUAAAAUGUUCAAAUAACCAAAAUAAAUUAAUAAAAUAAAAUAUGAAAUAAAAAUAAAAUAGAAUUUUUUUUUUUAGAGCAAGUUAAAAAUGAGAAAUCCUUUAUAUAUAGAUAAAAAUACUACUUCAUUCGCGUUCAUUUGAUACAAGUGAAAAAAACAGCUUCUGAAAAAUUAAAAAGACUCUACUUAUAUCACAACCAAAACCCGACCCAAAAACAGCAAAAAGAAACGAAAAGGUGUUUUCUUAAAGUGGUUGAAACUUGAUUGAAUCCAAAAAUUUAGAAAAUAAAAUCUUUCAUUAAGAACUAAAACAAUAGUGAUUUCAAAUUUGAAAAAGGAUAAAAAUAAUAUAUAUUUACAUAGAUUGAAACUAUAAUUUUCUCAUUUUUUAAAAUUUAAAAAAAAUUAUUUCAAAAUUUAGAAUUAAGAAAUGUAAGCAUUAUAUAUAAUAUCAGAACUUAUUUAUUUUAAAAAAAUAAUAACAUAUAUUGUAAUGACAUACAAAGAAGUGGUGGGCAAAAGAAAAUCCCAAAAGAAGAACCAACUUACGCAGUCUCCUUUGAAAUGUUUCCAAAUUGGAAACUAAUAAGUUUUGAGAGAGACAUUAGAAACACAGUACAUCCAAGUUGCUGAAGAGCAAAACUGGUGAAAUACACAACGCUAACCCAAGUUUCAACCAUUAAACACUACUUAUCACAGUACAAGUGGGUGAAAAACAGAAGACAAUUCACUCUAGAAGCAACAGAAAAGCCAUAAUACAGUAACAUUUCACGCCAUGCAUGCAGGAAUGGCAGCAAAGUAUCAAUACUAAACAUUGUCAAUAGAAUUUUUCUGAGGAUCGGUAGUGUCUUCGGACUUUGGGGAGGUUUGGUUAGAAUCAGAAGUUAAAGGGUAUCCAAUUCCAUGGCGAGUAUUGGGGAAAAUCAUGAACACUCCACCCGCAAACACCCCAAUAACUGUGGGCAGCACCUGAAGCAGACUCUUCUGAGUUGACUCAAAACUAGCGUAGAAACAGUGCACGGUGUUGGAGUCCAACAGCCCCAACACUGCAAACACUAACAAAGAUAGAGCAGCAUGCACAAAGUCUGCAACCCCGAGUUUGUACCCUGACAAGUCAACGGAGUUGGAAGAUGGAGAAGGCCAGAGUCCCUUGCGGGUUACGAAGCCAUAGUGCCUCUGGUUAUCACUGCCUGUGUAGCUAUCAGUGAAGGAAGAAAAGGCGCAACUGAAGCCGCAGAGCACAAGUAGAAUGCUGCUGAGCCACUUGUUGAUGGUGUUGCAUUGACCGCUAUUGGUGACAACGGGGUUGAGGAACUGGAACACGAAGACUGUGCCUGUGGGGAGAAGCUUUACCAGGCUACCAGCCGCUGAGAAUGUGGUGUUGGUCACACGCCCUGUACGGCUGCUGUUUGUGUUUUUGGAUGAACUCUCUUCAACCAUUUUUCUGCUUUUCUUCUUCUUGCUUAUCUUUAUCACCUUGCAGUUGAUCUUGUGGAAGUAUGUAAAUAUAGAGAGCUGGUCAAUGGCUUUAUAUACAAUAUGGUUAAGACAUUUAUGAGCUUUUCAAAUAUCUGCUCAAGCUUAGAGAAGACCAAGACCUUCCCACUACAGUGUACUGCAUUACUUUUUCCAUGCCAUUCGCGUUGAACGAGUAAAAUAUUGUACAAUGAAAACACAAGGAAACAACCAAGAAUACUAUACUUAAUUAUGAUUUUAGUUCUUCAAAUUUGAAAGUAAUUUCUUCAAAUUUGAAAGUAAAUUCUUCAAAUUAAAAAAUAUAUUUUAAAUUAAAUAUCAUUAUUUUUUUCGUUUAAAGAACUGAAAACGUAUUUAUUUGGCAUUUUGGGAUCAUAUAUACAUUAAAGAUGUUUUUUUAUCCAUAACAAAUAUUCCUUUAUCUUUCACGUUUGUAAAUUUCUAAGAUAAAAUUAGUAUUUUUAUCAAGCGAUAUAUUAAAUAUGACUAAGAACUUUUACCUAACACGGAAAAAUUAUUUAAUGACUUUCAAACAACGUGAAUGUAAAACCAAGAGGAUGAAUUAAUACUAAGAAAAUGAUCAAUGAGAAGUCCAACCAAACGGACAAAAAGGAUAGUUCAGGUGUGAAACUAAAGAGAAAAAUGGAAGACUAAUGAAAAUAAGUUGUUUUAAAUAUAUAAAUUAUAUUUUCUUUCAUAAUAAAUACUUUAAAUUAUUGGGAUGUAAAAUUAUUUUAAAAUUGAACUAGUCUCGGUUUAACUUUGAUUAACCCUACUAUGGAAGGAAUUAGUGCCCAAAUAUAUCUACAUAAUUAAUUAUACCUUGCUUGUUAAAUAUGGUGUAAAAUUUCCGAGUAAAUUUCAUAUCUAUCAUUAUUUACACUUUUAUUUCCCUAUCUAGUAUCAGUUUGUUUUUAUUUCCUUAUCUAGGACUCUUUUGUUUUUAUUUCCCUAUCUAACACUCUUUUAUUUUUUAUUUCCCUAUCUAGCACAAUUUUAAAAAUAAAUAAAUAAAUAAAUAAUAAAUUAUUUUUUUUUUAUAAUUUUAAUUUUGAAUGCAUUAAAAAAUAAAUAUUUUUAAUAUUUAAAAUAGUUAUAAAUAUAAUUAAUGAAUAAAGAAAUGAGUUUUUACAAAAUAUAAAUAAAAAAGUAAUACAUUUAAAAUAUUUAGUUUAAAAAUUAUUUUUUUAAGAAUGAAGAAAAUAAAAAAUUAAACUCUACAACAACAUAAAAUUUGAAUCUAUAAACAUAAAUUAGUAUUUAUUUUUAUUAUUAUUAAUAAUGUAAUAAUGUUAAUUUCAAGUAAAAAAUACAGGACAUAAUUAUAAAGAAAACAAGUUGAAUAAAGACUGAUAUGGACAUAGGAGAACAACCAACAAAAAAUGUUCAUAUUGUCAAACACCAGGACACACAUAAAGAACUUGUCACUGGAUUUUGCACUUCUCGUCAUUAAUUAUAUUUCAUUUUGCACAAACUAUUUAAUGUAACAUUGAAGAAAAUAUUAAAUAAAUGAUCAUCUUUCAUUUAUUUUCCUUUUUAUGAUCAACAUAUACUUAUUUAGUAUCGCCUUAUAUCUCUUAUAUUUAUCUUAUUUGGAUUUUUUUAUUUUUUAUCUUUAUCUUAUUUUGUUUUGCCUUAAUUUUAUAUCUUUUAUGUUUUUAGUUAUUAUUUUUUUUCUACCAUUCUUUAUUUAUUUCUGUUUUUAUUUUAUUUUAUUGUUGUUGUUUUUAUUUUCUAGACUUGUUUAUUUUUGCAUUUUUUUUUCAUUUUUAAGCAUUAAGUGUAACAUUUGCAUUAGUUUUUUUUUAGGAUUUUGCAUUUAAGGUAGACACUUCAAUAUUAUUUGUGUGUCCACUAUUAAUUUAAUACUAAUUGACUAUAUUUUUUUUAUAAUUAUGUCCUGUAUUUUACUUGAAAUUAACAUGAUUACAUCAUCAAUAAUAAUAAAAAUAAAUACUAAUUUAUGUUUAUAGAUUCAACUUUUACGUUGUUGUAGGGUUUAAUUUUUAUUUUCUUCAUUUUUAAAAAAAUAAUUUUAAACUAAAUAUUUUAAAUUUAUUACUUUUUUUAUUUUGAUUUUUUAAAAACUCAUUUCUUUAUUCAUUAACUAUAUUUCUAACUAUUUUAAAUAUUAAAAAUAUUUAUUUUUUAAUGCAUUCAAAAUUAAAAUUAUAAAAAAAAAUUAUUAUUUAUUUAUGUAUUUUUUAAAUGGUGCUAGAUAGGAAAAUAAAAAACAAAAGAGUGUUAAAUAGAGAAAUAAAAACAAAAGGGUGCUAGAUAGAAAAAUAAAAACAAAAAAGUGCUAGUUGGAGAAAUAAAAAUAUAAAUAGUACAAGAUAGGAAAUUGAUAAUUUCCCAUCUAUUACUAUUUUUUAUAUAUAUAUAGUGAAAAGUAUUAAGAGAGACAAAAUUUACUUCCAUAAUAUAUAUUUUAAGUAUAUAAAGAACAACCACAACAUUCAUAAAAUUAUAUAUGUUACAAGUUUCAAAUAAAUUAGAGUGGGAAUCACAGAAUUUCAGUUUGGUCAAGUAAAAAAUAUAUCUUAAUUUUUCUUCUAGAAAUGAUUGGUAAUAACAGCUUUUUUCUUUGUUUGUGUGUUUCCUUCAAAUAUAUUCUCUUUGACAGUGUUUUUGGGAGAUAAUAAAGAGUUUAAAUUGACUCAUCAUCUGCUUCAGUUGACCAUCCCAACAUCAUGUUUAUACUUCUUUUUUAUAGAAUAAAAUGGCAUAUUUUUUGCAACGCACUUUAUUACACAUUUAAUAAAUUAAUAAAAAUACCAAGAUAAAAUAGUUAAUUAGAUAUUAAUUUAAAAAUUAUUUAUUAUAUAUCAAUAAUUUUUAAUUUAAUUAAUAAUUAAUAUUCAUAGUUUUUUUUAUAAUGAUCUGUUUUAUAUUGAUGUAUUUUUUAUAAGAUUUAUAUUUUUCUUUUACAUUUUUGUGUGUGAUAAAUAAUAUAUUAGACAUUUUUGAGAUAUCUUCAAUACUGUUAUUUCAUGUAAUAUUCAAAUUUAUCAUAGCUAAAAUUGUGAAAUACAUAUUAGUUACUAUGCAUAAUUUAUAAAAUGAAUGUGAAUACUACUAGAAAAUCAUAAUAUAAAUUAAUUUUAGAAAUAAAAAUAAUUAGUUUCUAUAAUAAUUAAAUUAGAUACUAUUUUAGAGACUAAAAGAAAUAAUUGGUUUCUAAAUUAUUUUCUAUUAUUGAUAAAUAUUUUUUAAAUUGGUAUCUAAUUAAUUAGCUACUAAAGUUUUUGCUACCAAAUUUAGAAUCUGUAAUGGUAUGGACCGACCGGUUACUACCAUGACUCGGUCUCCCUGACCGAGCUGACCGAGACCUGCACGGACGGGCAGGCGGACCGACACACUUAAUCCAUUAACGCUCAAACCAAGGUCAGUAAAGCUAAACCGCCAUUAAGAAUUAGGUAAUACACUCCUAAGUGCGAUCCACCCCACUAAUCUAACCCAAUAAGGUAAGCCCAUUAAAAUAAUAUAAAUAGUACACAUUCCAAGAAGAAAGGCACGUCAUUAUCACUGUACACCCUCGAGUGUCGAAUCCCCCUUUUACUGACUUGAGUGUCGGAGUGUCUUUUGCAAUUACCCCCCUCAUUUGGCAUUCACCUAAGACUGAGAGACCGAGAACCGAAGGAUGUUGAUCAAGUGCUUUGAAGAAUCCAAAUCAAAGGUGUUUGAUGAAAGGCUGGUGUUGCUGCUGUGUUUGGGUCGGAUCUAGGUAGAAUAGAGUGUGAUCCACUCCUUUGUUGAAUCUAAAACUGAUGUGAUUUAAAACCUUUUUGAAAUUAAGUAUUUUUCCAACUAAGUGAAAAACAACCUGUUGUUUUGUCGAAUCAAAUGGUUGUUUUACUCUUAGGAGUUUUUGAAAAAGGUUGAAAGGUGUUUGGUUUGGUUAACUUAACUGUCAAGCCAAAACAAUCGGUUGUUUCGUGAUUUCAACCGAUUGUUUCUUUGAAAAUCCUAACAGAAUUCAGUUUUGAAUGAUGAAUCUGUUUUAAAUGUUUUCUAACUGAAUACGCUCCUUCAUUAAAUGUUUUGACCAUCUUUGGAAAAUAUAAAUGGUUUGUUUAUGUUUUCAAACAAAAGAAAGAAACAAUUUUGAGAAAUUCAGUUUGACAUAUUUGAUUCUAAGAUUUCAAGAUCCACAUAAAGCUUUGGAUUUUCAAGAGAGAGUGGAAUAUGAUUGCAAUUGUAUUCAAUUCAGAUUGUACUGUGAUCAGGUGUAAUCCUUUCUAAACCUACUGUACUUAUGGUGUGUUGUCAAGGAGUAUUGUGUGUUCUUGAGGUGUUCAAGAUCAAUACUCUUGGUGUGGUUUGCCAAAGGUAGUGUGUUUCUUGAAGGGUUCAAGAUCACUACUUUGGUGGUUUGUGUUUUGUAAUCUGGUUUGAUUGCUUAGUGGAUUACCCAGUGAUAUUCUGGGGACUGGAUGUAGCUCUUGGCUUAAGAGUGAACCAGUAUAAGCUGUUUGUGUGAUUCUCUCUUACUCUGAACUCCUUUUAAUUUUGUUUUAUAGUUUAUCUGAUAUAAACAACCGAUUGUUUCGAAGAAACAACCGAUUGUUUUUCUAUGUAUUGUUGCAUAACUGCUUGAGUUCUUGGCUAACUUGAUUCUUGUUCUGGAUUUAUACAAAGAAUUUCAUUGAAUCUGAAAAAGUUUUCAAAAACCUCUCUUAAACAAUUUACCCCCCUCUUGUUUAAGACCAAAAUUCUCCUCUUGAAGACUGGAACCCACUGCAACCAAAUGAUUAAGGAAGAUUUCUAUUUUGCUAUAAAAACUCUCUGCAACUGUUUUUUGUACACAAAAACAACCCAUUGGCAUAUCUCUUGUUGCAUCUCAUAUCCUCCUCUGUUUUUUUUUAUUUCUCUCAUUCUGGUUUCAUGGAUUCCACUCCUCCAUCAUAAAAAAGGAUUAAAACUAGAGUUGUAAGAUCAGGAGGGCGUCUUGAAGGCUGGUUUUCAGGAUAUAAUGAAUUGAUUGAGAAAUAUCGCUUUGAAACUAGUAGAAAAGUGAUAAACAAUCCAAAAGUUGUCUCUUUUGGCUGGUUGAAGAGUCAAAAGCUGGAUGAUGUGAGAAGACUACUCAAAGAACAACUGCUAAAAAGGUUCUUAGAGAUGAAGGGGAACAUCUAUCCAAAUCUUAUUCGGGUUUUCUACACCAAUUUAAAGUUUGAAGGUAACAAUCUUGUUUCUCAUGUCAAAGGUGUGGAUAUGGAGAUUACUCAUGAGGUAUGGGCUGCUGUGACUGGCCUAAAGUAUGCUGGGUUAAGAAUCAACAAAGGGAGUAUUGGUGUGGUGGAAGAUUUCAACAAAAUUCAAUAUUACAAAAGCUGUUUGAAGAAUCCUCAUGCACAAGUAAGAACUUGUUAUGUUGGAGGGUUGAAAUUGAAUGAAAGGUUGUUGGCUCUCAUUGUCACUUGGAUUCUAACACCAAGAGGGAGCAACCAUUAUGUUCUCACUGAGGAAGAUCUUGUUUACAUAUACUGCAUAAUGAGCAAAGUCAAGAUUAUUUGGAUCCAUAUUAUCAAGGAACACAUCCAAAAAUAUAUGAGGUUAAGUGACUAUCAUUAUCCUUAUGCUACCUUUAUUUCUAAAUUCUUAAACUAUUUUGAAGUGAACCUUGAGGAUGAAACAUCUGACUUGGUGAAAUCAACACAUGAAGUGAACAAUGGUUUACUAAGCAAGAUGGGUUUUACCAAGAUUAAUGGAAGAUGGGUAAGUAAGGAUGGUGAACAAGGUGGUUCCUCAAGUUGAGUUCAUGUUGAACAUGAUGAAGAAGAUCAAAAAGCUGCUGAAGGUACUGAUAUGAAUGUUCAAGAUGAAGAACACCUUGCUACAGACUUAGGUGCUAGAACAAAUGUUGGACAUAAAGGAAAUAGGAUUCCCUCAAUGUCUUCCUUUGAAAGUUUCAUGGUCAAUAGGCUGUACAACUUUGUUGAAAAUCAAAGAAACCUUCAUGAUCUUUGUGUUACAUAUUUUCAAAACUUUGACAACAGAUUUCAAAGCAUGGACACACGUUUUCAGACCCUUGAUGAACAAAUUGAAGUUGUUCAGAACCAGCUUUUUGAGUUGCAGUAUGGGAAAGAAGAUUGAAGCCUAGUUUUGUUAUUCUUUUUAUGCUUGUAUUGCUUUAUUUUGGACUAUUCUAUUUUUUCUCUUCAUAAAUUCUAUUAGUGAAGACAAAUAGGGGGAGAAUAUGGUUUAUGUGUUGUCUUAAAACUGCUAUAACUCUGAUUUAAUGUUCUGCUAUAAUCUGGUUUGUAUGGUGCUGCAGUUUGGUGUGUUUUAGCUAAGUUUUUUUUGCUUCUUUUUCUACUAUCAUGAUUGUGUAGAAAACUGGUUUAUGUGCCAUCAUAAUCUGCUAUGAAAGAUGCUUUGCAUUGCAUAGCUUUUUGUUUUGCAGGUGUUGGUUCAUAUUCAAUCAAGAUCAACACAAGCAACCAGGGAUUUGUCUUCAUCAAAUAGGGGGAGACUGUUGAUCAAGUGUGAUGAAGUGCUUUGAAGAAUCCAAAUCCAAGGUGUUUGAUGAAAGGCUGGUGUUGUUGCUGUGUUUGGGUGGGAUCUGGGUAGAAUAGAGUGUGAUCCACUCCUUUGUUGAAUCUAAAACUGAUGUGAUUUAAAACCUUUUUGAAAUUAAGUGUUUUUCCAACUAAGUGAAAAACAACAUAUUGUUUUGUCGAAUCAACUGGUUGUUUUAUUCUUAGGAGUUUUGAAAAAGGUUAAAAGGUGUUUGGUUUGGUUGACUUAACUGUCAAACCAAAACAAUCGGUUGUUUCGUGAUUUCAACCGAUUGUUUCUUUGAAAAUCCUAACGAAAUUCAGUUUUAAAUGAUGAAUUUGUUCUAAAUGGUUUCUAACUGAAAACACUCCUUCAUUAAAUGCUUUUACCAAUCUUUGGAAAAUAUAAAUGGUUUGUUUAUGUUUUCAAACAAAAAAAAGAAACAAUUUUGAGAAUUCAGUUUGACAUAUUUGAUUCUAAGAUUUCAAGAUUCACAUAAAGCUUUGGAUUUUUAAGAGAGAGUGGAAUAGGAUUGCAACUGUAUUCAAUUCAGAUUGUACUGUGAUAAGGUGUAAUCAUUUCUAAACCUAUUGUAUUUCUGGUGUUGUGUUGCCAAGGACUAUUGUGUUCUUAAGGCGUUCAAGAUCAAUACUCUUGGUGUGGUUUGCCAAAGGUAGUGUGUUUCUUGAAGGGUUCAAGGUCACUACUUUUGUGGUUUGUGUUUUGUAAUCUGGUUUGAUUGCUUAGUGGAUUACCCAGUGGUAUUUUGGGGACUAGAUGUAGCUCUUGGAUUAUGAGUGAACCAGUAUAAGCUGUUUGUGUGAUUCUCUCUUACUCUGAACUUCUUUUAAUUAUGUUUUAUAGUUUAUCUGAUAUAAAAAACCGAUUGUUUCGAAUAAAUAAUCGAUUGUUUUUCUGUGUAUUGCUGCAUAACUGUUUGAGUUCUUGGCUAAUUUGAUUCAUGUUAUGGAUUUAUACAAAGAAUUUCAUUGAACCUGAAAAAGUUUUCAAAAACUUAUCUUAAACAAUUCACCCCGCUCUUGUUUAAGGUCAUAUAUUCUAACAAACAAGUAGCAUGAAGGUUGUGAGGAUCAUAGUGAAGCCCCAAAAACCUGCCUGAAGGAAAGGAGGAGACGAAGCCCUUCAAUAGUUCUCUAGGUCCCAUUUCCCUAGAAGGAAUAAUUGGUGCCCGUCGUGGGCCGAGAGAAGCUAGUUGAAGAAGAGAAAGUAGAUGGUCUCAACCAGAAGCAUGGAGAGGAUGACUGAAGUCGAUCAAACAAUGUUGUUGCUAUCUCUGUAAAGAGAGAUGGCCAAGAUGAAGAGGAAGGCAGAAGAAGCUGCCCAGAAUAACGAACAAGAAAUGCAAGCUUUUUGAAGAGAGAACGAAAAGAUGAAGAAGAAGCUGAUGGAGGGAAGACCGUCUGCUGGACUGACCAAUGUUGUCGGCAGGUCCUACACCUUCCCUCCCAACCCGAGACCGGUGGAGGAAACAAGGGACAAGGUCCCCACCCAUGAGAUGGAUGGUGAAUCCUGUCUCAACAAGUUGGCCAAGACGACUGUCACGAUGGACUCGGCACGCUGACACCUCUUCACCAAUGCUAUUAUUGAAGCCCCACUAUCGAAUAAGUGGAAAGGUUUCAACAGAGACCGAUAUGAUGGGUCUACUGACCCGGAUGAGCAUAUGGAUGCCUACGCUACUCACAUGAGUCUCUACACCUCAGACGAUGCAGUGUUGUGCCGAGUAUUCCCUACAUCUCUAAAGGGAGCAACCCUCAGUUGGUUUACCAAGCUCCCACCUAACUCCAUUGAUAGCUUCGCUACACUUGUGGUGAAGUUUGAGACUUAGUUUGCCACCAGCAGGUCGUACCACCUAACCUCCAUCGUCCUGGUAGGCAUCCGCCAGGAGAAAGGAGAGUCACUAAGAACCUUCGUUGAUAGGUUCAGCAAAGUGGCAAUGAGUAUUCGGAAUCUCAGUCCGGACAUUGCCUUGCACCAUAUGUUGUCAGCCUUGCGCCCAGGACCGUUUGCCGACAAUCUGUGUAUGCAGCCAACCACCAACCUGGAUGACCUUAGGAAGAGAGCUGCUAAGUUCAUGCAACUGGAGGAACUCAGGGAGUUCUGCAAUCAGGCCCGAUCCGAAGCUAGCGGAGAGAAGAGCAAGGAUGAGAAGGACCGCCAAGUCCGUUCAGGUCAAUGAGGCGACAGAUGCAGAGAUAAUCGAGACCGAGGGAACCAGUUCUCAAGAUACACCCCCGUAAAAGCCGAAAGGGGGAGAAUCCUGGAUGAGUCACUCAAUGCCGAGUUGAUUCCUCCCCAUAGGAAGGUGGUGAGCCCAAACAAUGCCGACUGAAGAAAGCAGUGACGGUAUCAUCAAAACAACGGACAUUCGACCGAGGAGUGUCAGGCCUUGAAAGACGAAAUUGAAGAACUCAUCCAAGCCGGGGAUACCUUUGUUGGUUUGUCAGGGGUGGCCUAGAUUCAAGACACUCCCCUCGCAAAGACGAGCCCGCUAAGAGAAGGCAGUCAACCUCGCGAAGAGAUGAUCGGGAUCGAAGAGAAGAUCACCGAUCCCGAAGAAACGACUCUCCCCGUAGGGAUAAUCCACCUCGAGAGGUCGAAAGAAGAGGAAACCUUGAGCUUAUCAACACCAUAGCCAGCGGCUUCACCGAUGGCGUGAGUACAAACAGCGCCCGAAAGAAGCACCUUCGGGCAGUACACAAGGUGAACACGGUGACAUUUCGACCGAGGAUGCCACCCAUCACCUUCACAAAUGACGACUUUAAAGGAAUGGACUAUUGGCAGGACAAUCCCAUGGUGAUAUCAGUCGAUAUAGACCGAUUUACCAUCAGGAAAACUCUUGUGGAUCAAGGAAGCUCAGGAGACAUCGUCUACUGGAAAACAUUUAAAGCCAUGAGAAUACCCGAGGCCGAGAUGGUACCUUACGACGACCACGUGGUCGGUUUCUCGGGCGAGAGGGUGGGAACCAAGGGCUACAUCGAGCUCUACACCACCUUCGGUCAAGAGAAAAGCUGCAAGACGAUAAGGAUCUGGUAUUUGGUAAUCGAUGCCAAUACCUCCUAUAACAUCCUCCUCGGACGACCGUCCAUUAGCCGGCUGAUGGCGAUCGUAUCGACACAUCACUUGGAAAUGAAGUUCCCUUCGCAAUAGGGGAUAUUCUCACGGUCCACGUCAACCAGAAGAAGGCAAGAGAAUGAUAUGUUGAAAGGAUCGCUCAUCCCGGGAAGCCUGACCGAUUUCGGUAGAGCCAACCGUUGCGUUGGUAGACCUAGACCCUCGGGCGACCGAAGACAGGCUGGAGUCCAGAGAAGAGCUGAGACGAGUACUCCUCCUGGAUGCCAUGGCAGCAGCUGAGGUCGAGAUAAUGCAUGCCACGCUUAAGAGGAAUGUGGAGCUGUUUGCGUGGACACCAUCCGAUAUGCCAGGCGUAAGCCCAGAUAUCAUUACACACAGGCUGUCAAUAUUCAAGGAAGCACGACCGAUUGCCCAGAAAAAGAGGGACUACGGUGAAGAAAAGCACCUAGCGGCAAAAGCAGAAGCCGAAAAGCUUAUAUCGGCCGACUUCAUACGCGAAGCUCGGUACACGACUUGUCUGGCCAACGUCGUCAUGGUUACCAAGCCGAACGGUAACUGGAGAAUGUGCGUCGAUUACAGAAACCUCAACAGCGCCUGCCCAAAAGACUCCUACCCCCUACCAAACAUCGACCGACUAGUAGAUGGGGCGACCAACCAUAAAAUCUUAAGCUUCCUGGACGCUUAUCCUGGCUAUAACCAGAUAAGUAUGCACCCCAAGGACAAGGAGAAGACGACCUUCGUGACGGCUGAUGUCAAUUACUACUAUGAGGUCAUGCCAUUCGGCCUCAAGAACGUCGGGGUAACCUACCAGCGCCUCAUGGACAAAAUCUUUCAAGGGCUCAUCGUCCGAUGUGUGGAAGUGUACGUGGAAGACAUCGUCGUGAAGUCCGACUCUUUCGACCAACAUGUAGAGGACCUCCAGGAGGUAUUCAAAGCCCUCAGGGGGGCUAAUAUGAAGCUCAACCCCGAGAAAUGGACAUUCGGGGUUAAGUGGGGGAAAUUCUUGGGUUUCAUGCUCGCCAAUAGGGGGAUAGAGGCCAACCCUGACAAGUGUCAAGCCAUCGUCAACAUGAAAAGUUCGAAGAACAUUAAGGAAGUACAACAACUCCUAGGGCGCCUGACAACCCUCUCCAGGUUCGUCCCUCGGUUGGCCGAGCGAACAAAACCGAUGGUACAGCUACUCUGGAAAGCAGCCAAGUUCAGUUGGGACGACAGAUGCGAGGAAAUUUUCAAGCAACUGAAGGAUUUUCUAAAAUCUUCAUCGGUCAUACAAAAACCGAGACUCGACCAGUUCAUCCUGGUAUAUCUGGGGGUCUCGGAGGAGGCAAUCAAUGUUGCGUUGGUACAGGAAGUCGAAGGAUAUUUUUCAUUUUCAGCAAUUGUGUACUAAACUAUGGGGACUACAUUUUGUUACAAAUCUAAUCUUCGUUAAGAUAUCAGUUCAAACUGCUUUUGAUAUAUUCCAUAUAAAAGUGUAUGUAGUUUUUGAAACAUUUGUUUUUGCCAGUCUGGGCUGGUUUUGAAGAGAGAUCUCGUGAUGAAAGUAAAUUUGUUGUGGGUGAAAGACCCGUAAAAUAGGGUCGCCGUAAUUACUUCACUGAAGCAAAAGAUUCUAUCAUCAAAGAGAGUAAAGCUAGAAGAUAAAGUGCUGGCAAUGGUUUCUUUGACGAGGUUGAGAGUAUCAAUUCAUCUGCAAACCUCCUUGAUACAUUAUUUGUUGAUGGCUGAUGGAAAAUGUGAUUCCCC
rnacentral:lncRNA from 1 species